AAUGUGAGUAUUCACUUUUGUCUCAGUUUUUGACGUGUUAAGUAGCUGAUUAAUCUAUGCACACUCGAUCGUCAUAUCUUUUUAUAAAUCUGGAUGGAUAUAUCUCUGGUACUCAAGGAGCAUUGUUUCUUAUUGUUCUCUAGUUGUCAGGUGUGUAUAAAUAUUAUCACGAUUAAUUGAAAAAUAUACUAGACAAAGAGUGAUUGCAAAAGGAGCAAUGCUUCUGAAACACACCAAGAAUUUUCCAUACUAAUGUCAUUUAUUUCAUUAUUCUUCCAUUAGCAACUGAUUGAAUAUAUAUGGAUGACAGGGCCGUAUGAGGACGAGAACGAGCAUGUGCCGAUUGAUAUGAAGAAGUUAGCCGAUUCUUUGAGUGGGAAGUUGGAGACCCUGCCUCCCUUGUCUGGAAAGUGUUCCAUCUACAGAAUGGUUUCAAUUGGCCCUUUCCAUCAUGGUAAGGAAGAGCUAAAAGCCAUGGAAGAGCAUAAACAAAGGUACCUAAAAUGCUUUCUUCAAAGAACAAAGGUAUCCAUGGCACGUUUCCUUGCAUUUAUAAAGGAGAGGGAAGCAGAAUUGCUCAGUUGUUAUGCAGAAACCAUUCAUAAUCUUCAAAGUGAUGAUUUCGUAAAAAUGGUUUUAGUGGAUGCUGUGUUUCUCAUUGAGUUCUUUCUGAGAGUUUAUAAACCUGAUUGCAGAACUGAUGAUGAUCCCAUAUUCGGAAGAUCAUUUUUGUAUGCUGAUGUGAGGCAUGAGAUUUUGCUGCUAGAAAAUCAGCUUCCAUUGUUCAUUCCCAACGACUUGUUUAAUCUAGCCAAAACAACAACGUUUGAAACAAACUUGUAUGAUAAAUUUCCUUCAUGACAAUUACCUGUUUUUGGUUCAGGGAUGAUAUUGUUGGAUAUCUUCCAAUACAGGAGAAUUUGCUAGAAAUCAACUUUUCGAAAGCCAAACAUUUUGUCGAUCUGCUUAUACUCUGUCUUCAGCCAUCCCAGUCGCGUGCAGUUAUUGCGUUGAAAGAUCUAAACAUUCCCAGCGUAAAGAAGCUUGACCAAGCUGGAAUUAAGUUUAAACGAGGGUCGAGCAAGGAUCUACUCGACAUCAAAUUUAAUGAGGGAAUUCUAGAAAUUCCAUUUUUAAGGGUGGAUGAGACCACAGAGCGUUUGUACAGAAAUGUUCUGGCUUUCGAGAAUAUGCAUUGCUACACUGGCUAUUUUAAUGACUAUAUUUUAAUGAUGAAUUAUCUUGUCAGCACGCCAAAAGACGCGGAAUUACUCCUUCAGAACGAAAUUAUCGGGCUAGGGGACACUGAAGCAGUUCCAACUGUAUUUCGCAACCUUGGUAAAGAUUGUGCGAUAUAUUACUUUCAUUUCCAAUAUUCUGCUGUUCUUGCCAAUCUACAGGCCUAUUGCAAAUCGCACAAGUUGAAGGCAACCUUCAAGCAAAAUUAUUUAACCUUGAAGCAAAAUUAUUGCAACACUCUAUGGGCGUCUAUCUCUGUUAUUGCAGCUGUUAUUCUUCUUCUACUCACAUUCAUACAAACAGUUUGUUCGCUCAUCGCAUUGUAGAUUCACUUUUACAGUUUAUUAUGUAUUAUUUUCUUUGAAGGAAUUCACUUGUAUUACCCGUGAGUGUUUCUGUUUAGCUCGACCACUUUUGCUGUUUUCACAAUAAGUCCAGCACAUAACGGUAAAAAUUUGACGAUUCAAUUAAUAUUGAAGAAAGACUCAAGUUCUCCACUCGCCCAAUCGUCCACUUGUUAAUAAAAAAUAUCUAGAGUUAUACAUAUCUAGGGAGGGGUGGUAUAUGGAAGAUGUGGCUAAGAAAUAUAAUAUAUAUAUAUAUAUAUAUAUAUAUAUAUAGGCAGUUAGAUUUUGGUGAAAAGGAAAAUGCCCUAGAAUUAUACAUAUACAUCGGUUUUUUUAUGACGCGGCAGUUUUCUGAUUAAUAUUGAUACUUAUUAACCAGAAAACUACCGGCAUCGGUUUUAUUAUGACGCGGCCAAAUGCACUGCUCCGACAUUGAAAAGGAAUCUACUUCUUUUCCAUCAUGGAUUUAUGGGGCCGCCAAAUAAUUAUUAAAUGUAAAGAUAUUAUUAUCAUUACCAAAUAUAUUAAGAUAACAAAUAAAAAUUAAACUUAAUAAAAUAAAAAUAUUUAUUUUAGUUAUUAAUUUUCAUAUAUAUAUAUAUAUACUAAUCAAUUACGUGGCACUUUUUUGGCUAUAUGGCAGCUUCUUAUUGGUUGUUGGUGGUCCCCCAUGGAUUACUGUGCCAAUCAUAUUCGUGCAAUCUUAAUUUUCAUUCUGUUACCAACUGAAAUCUUAAGGCAAAAUUAUUAUCGUUUGUUCAUUAUCAACUAAACUGUAUCUCUCUGCCUCUGCGGCAAUAUAUAUAUAUAUAUAUAUAUAUAUAUAUAUAUAUAUAUAUAUACGUGCUUGCAUGGUCGCUUUGACUUUUGAUUCAAAAUUGUAAUAGAUUGAGUACAUACCCCAUUGGAUUUUAUCAAUGCUAACUUUAAAUUAGUCGGUCCAACCCUGAAUUUGAGACAUAUAAAAUGUGAGGUACUUAUGGCGUAAAAAAUCUAUCAUAAUCGUGGCGACAAUUUCCACCACGGUCACAAAGUGCAACAAAACCUAAAUUAUCAUCUAAAGGAUCAAAGUAUUUUCAAGUAGUUGAUUAAUCUCUCACAUUUAUCUAUUGAUAUGUCACCACCAUCAAUAUAUGCACUUAUAUUUUGAGCUGAACUGAAACAUGAGAUUUUCUGUUUAGCUGCACCCCAGGGCGAGCCGCGGGCUGGGUGGAAGGCACCAGGCUCAGACCCUGGAAUAGGGAGGCUAUCUUGGCUACCUGAAGAGAGCCAAUGAACUGUGAUUAUCAAAAUCAAUGGGGACAUGACUAGUAAUCUUUGCAGCAGCUCAGAUGGUGCGGCCAUUACUGUGUCAUAGAGUAAGUAACCCAGGAAUCCGCAAACGAGUAUCCCUACUGCCUUGAGAAGCCAUUGCUCUGUUAUGCCGAUGGUUUCAGGCCUUGAUGAAGCCAUGAGUUAAAACAAGUGGUUUGGAGCUAAAAGGGAAAGGACUGAAGGGUCUAUAAAGAUAAUUUUGUGUUUGCUUUUGUGGACUUGUGUGAGCAAGUAAUGUUUCAAGAGACAGAAUUAUUGAGCCUCUGUCACUAACUUUGUCCCAUAUGUUAACAUUUCUUAACAGAGGCAAUAAUUUACAAAGUAACAAUUUGAAAUUCAAUAUUUCUCAUCUCAUUUAGAAGAAUCAACCUGUUGCAAACAAGACUGACCCUCUAGCUGUCAAAAUUUGAACUAAAGCUGCACCAAACAACCGUUCCCCUCAACCCAACUGCACCCCGGCACUUUCUUCAAACCUUUCUGAUUCAUGGCAACCAUAAUCUCAGCUGCAUUAUCCCAAAUAUCAGAUAGAGAAGAUGAAUAUCAGAUAGAGAAGAUACGCUUGGCAGAGUUGAUAGUCCUGUGAUCGCUGUCAGUCCUUUGCAUAUCACACUUGAAACAUGAACAUAAUUGCUCAUCAUUCGGUUCCUGAGAAUAUGUCAAAGAACGUGCGCGUAUUGCGACUGUGGCAAUAGGAAAAGCGACAGCUUCAAAAUUAUUGUAAAGAAGCAGCACCAAUCGAGGAACAAAAUAGCAACUCCAGAAGAAAGGAUGUUGUAAAGCUUCCGCAGCGGUCGGCCUCAUGUAGGGACUCCAGGAGGAGAGCCACGAAAUCAAGCUGAUGGCAUCACUGCUAGCAGAUUCACACCACCCAUCUGCGGGAAUUUCCAAUUGAGAUUGCCCGCGAGUUGAAUUCCAAGAGGCCAAGAAUCCUUAGUGGGCCUUCCAAUCACUUGGCAGAUUUUGUGAAUUUGAUCAGCUGAGGUUUUCCCUGGAAAGAGAAUCCUGAAACUCAACAUCUCGAACAUAAUAGUACCCAUCGCCCACAUAUCAACUUCAGGUCCAUAAAUCUCGUAAAAAAGCAACACCUCAGGAGCUCGAUACCAGCGAGUUGUAACAUAAUCAGUGCACGGCAGAUUGGAAUCAAUUUCCUUCACCAUUCCAAGAUCCCCUAUCUUGAUCACACCUUUCGAAACAAGCAUGUUGGAAGGCUUUAGGUCACGGUGACAAUAACCCUGUUGGUGCAUGAAAUGGAGACCUUAAAAAACUUGGAAACACAAGUUUCUGACGUCAUCUUAAGAGAAAUUUUUACCCUCUCUUUCUUUCAUAAGUUUUAGAAGAUAAGAUUGCAGAAAACGAAAUGCUGUCUGAUUUUAGCACUGUUUGUAUCAUCUUGGCAAACAAGGAAAUAGCAUCAUUUCCUCGGCCGUUAUCUGCAAGUCCAGAAAUCAUGAUUGUCCAAGACUGCAAAUUCUUCUCACGCAUUAAAUUGAAAACUUUGAAAGCUUUCUCAACAUGCCCACACUUGGAACACAUCUCAACCAGGGCGGUUCCUAGAGCAACAUCCAGCUCCAAACCAUUAACGACAGCGUAUGAAUGAAUGGGUUCUCCUGCCCUGACAUUGAUCAGACUGGUACAAGCAGAAACCAAGCUUACCAAGGUGACAGAGUUUGGAUUUUCAUUUGCUAACUUCAUUCGAUGGAACACCUUCAAUGCGUCCGAUGGACUAUCACUUUAUGCAAAAAAAGUGAUAUCAGGAUAUACGGUAAUAAAGGAAACGAAAGCAAAAUAGCAGAUUCACAUGAAAACAAGCACCGCAACUAGACAAACUCAUUAACUAAUGAACUUCACGCAGCAAUUAUUUGGCUUUUAUUCACAUUAACGGUUUUUUAUUUUAUUUUAUUUUAUUUUAUUAAAUCCACGACAAGUAACAAUAACACAUACAAACAAUUCAAAUCAAAUCAUUGAAGAAACAUACCAAGCAACAAAACCCGCAAUCAUAGAACUCCAAGAAACCACAUCUCUCACAGGCAUUUCCUCGAACACUGCUUUCGCAAAAUCAAUUUCCUUACAGGCAGCAUACAUCCUCAAAAGGGUAUUCCCAAUAUAUUUAUCCGAAUCCAAGCCCACUUUAAAAAUCAACGAAUGCACUGACCCACCAAUUCCAAUCAACAGACACCGACCACAAGCUUUUACAACAAAAGGGUACGUAAAAUCAUCAGGUCUAAGCCCUGUUUUUAGCAUUUCAUCGAACAGUUUGAUUGAUUCAAUCGGACAAGAGGUUUUUGUGUAGGCUCUUAUAAGGGUAUUGUAAGCAAAAAGUGGUGGCGUGACGGGCAAGUUAUUGAAUAAGGAUCUCGUAAAGUGGAGUGAGAUUGGAAGUGAAGUGAGAAUGAAGCGUGAGAUUAUGUACGUGUUGUGAUCGAGUGAUGUUUUGAGGAAUAGAGCGGGGAGUUGAUGAAGGUGGUGGGCGGUUUUUGACAGUUGGAUCAGGGUUUCAAUUUGGCGGGAAAUCAUGACCGUAAACUAAAGCUAUUCUUGAUCGACAAACUAACUCGUUCGAAAAAUCAUGACCGUAAACUAAAGCUAUUCUAAAUUGAAAGGUGAGCUUGAGACCAGUGUUGGGUUUAUAAAUGUAUAAUGAAAAUCCCUCAGCUGUGUAAUAUCAUACGGUUGUGGUCAUGCAUAAAUAAACAUAAAAGUUGAGAAAUUAAAAAAAAAAAUUAUUUUUUAAAUAUUAGAAUUUUUUUAUGUCAGUUGUAACAAUAUGACACUUGCAACAAAACCAUUUUCUUGGCAAUUGAAGUAACAUCAAAUUUUUGUCAAAUUUAAAUUUUCACCUAAAAUGUGGUUUGACAUAGAGCCCUUUGGGAUUAUUUCUGAGGUUUAAAAUUAAUUUUGAAAAGAUAAAAUUAAUUUUGGAGUUUAGUGAAUUUUUUUUCAAAAUUAUUUUUUGAUAAAAUCAUCCCAUUAUAUGGUAGAUUUGAAAAACAAAGAAGGAAUAAACUUAUGUCAGAUCACACAUAAGUUUUAACAAUUAGUUACACGUUUCAAAUUCGUACAUGCAUACUUCACAAUAAAUUCCUUAAGUUUGGACAUGUAAUACUCUUGUUUUAACCUUAAAAUUUCAGAAGUCUUGACAUAUGAUCAUGGAUGAAUAAUUCUAAACUCCUCAAAUAAAUAGUUAUAUUGUAAAUUCAUGGUUCCAAAAUCAAUGAAAAAUCAUACGGCUGUGUCAUGCGUAAACAAACACAAAUGUUGAAUAACUUUUGCAUAUAUGGAUGGAUGAAAAGGGGCGGAGCUAGAAUAAAAAAUUUAGGGAGGGUCAAAUAUUAUAGAGGUAGAUGUUUUAAGGUUAAAGUUAAAAAAGAGUAUCUAAUUAAUGGGUAAAAUGUUAAACUUUUAAAGUUAUCGCGGGAUAAAUCAGCAAAAUAAAUAUUAAAAUCUGAAAUUGUAAAUUUUCAUAAUUAUAUUUAAUAAUUGCUUUUGGACCUACAACAGGGCAUGGCCUCUGUUUUCCAUGGGGCAGCUUCCCCUGGAUGAAAGUACAUACAAUAAGACUUGAUACAUGUUUAUGCUUUCACCUUUUUUCUUAGAGAAACCCAAACCAACCUGCUUUAAGUUUUAGUUAACUUAAGAUGAUGUUCAAGAGUAUUAUACGCUUUUUUUCUUCAAGAAUUUACUUUAGUAAUUCAUUUUAGGCAAUACUAAAUUGUUUAUUGUAGUGAGACUUGACUUCAACGCUAUUGUUGGAUCCUUAUCAUCCUUUUAAACCAAAUUACUUCACUAACAAGAUUUCUCAAGUUUAUUCUCCCACAGACAAUUUUUAUUUUAAUUUCAAUUCAUUGAGUUACUUUCAAAUUCUCUUAUCUCUAAGCUUACCCAUGAGUUUUGGUUUUAAUACUUGGGGAAACCUAUAAUAUUUAUUAAUUCUUACCAAUCAACUUGAACUUUUUUGUAAAGAUAUUUCUCUAAGACUCUGACAACCAGGGGCGGAUGCAGUGCAGGACCAUUGGGGGCUCAAGCCCCCACUGAAAUUAUUUUUUUUGUUUAAAGGAAAAUUAAAAAUUAAAAAUAAUCCCUGUAAAAAUUAUUAGAUAAUCUCAUUCUUUAAAAUUUAAACUAUUAUUUUAAUAAUUAUAAAGUAAUAAUUUUACUUAAAAAAAUAAAGCCCACAACCCAAAAUAUUUAUAAUCCCAAAACUGAACCGUGAUUGCCAAACGUGUAAUUAGGGAUUGUCUUGAAGAAAAGAGGAAGUUGCAGGCAUCAGUUCUGUUCUUUAUUCUCAUAAUCGCAAUGAGAAUAAACAUGUUCUUUUCGGUUUUUUUUUCAAAUUAAGUUAAGAAUUUUAUAUUUUAUUUUUUGUUCACAUGUCAACACAUCUCUAUAUAAAUUGUAAUUGUUCAAGUGACUAAUUCUAGUCUUUACAAUUUCUUUUUUUAGUGAUUUUGUUUAUAACUAUUAGUAAAUUAAUUUUUUCAAUCGUAAUUAAUUUAUUUUUACAUAAGUACUCAUAUAUAUAAUUUUGAGCAAUGAAAUUUGUGAAGAAUGAACUUCAGAAUCGGAUAGGAGAUGAAUGGAUGAAUGAUAAUUUGAUUGUUUGUGUAGAAAAAAGAUGGAUUUAAUAGUAUUGAUACUGAGUCUAUUGCACAAUAUUUUCAGAAUAUGAAAUCGCGUAGAGAACAAUAGUAAGUGGGUUACCAAAAAUUUUAUAUAUUUAAGUUUCAAUUUUUACAUUUUGCUAUUAUUUAAUUUAGCCCCCGGUAAAUUAUUUUUCUAAAUCCGCCACUGCUGACAACCAAUAUAAUCUUUGUUCUUGAUUUUUGGUUUUGUAAUUUUUGAUGAUUUUAAUUAUGAAGCUUAAAGCAUGCAUCUUAUUAGAUGGGAACCUAUAAAGAUAGAAAGCAGUUACUGACUUUAUUCGAAUCUUUAUAUAUAUAUAUAUGAAGCAUAUGGACCAAUUUAUUCGGACGACAAGGUCGAUCAUAUAUAAUACUGGUUUCACAUGCAUCAUUAAUUCAAGAAACAAAGAUAGAAAUGUGAGUAUUCGCUUGUCUGCAUUUUUGAUGUGUUAAUAAGUUUAUGAUUUAUAUGUAAUCAAUCGUUAUAUCUUUUAAUUAAUUUGAACACACACACAUGUAUGUAUAUAUGUACAUAAAAUCAUUUUUAGGUGCGGAUGUCUGAAAUUUUUUUUUUUUUUUGAAUUCGCUAUUACACUGUAUACUGUAUUGGUUAAUUGAAUUAAAAAAAAUGAAACACUAAUACGCCAUAUUAUUUAAUAGCCAAUUCGCAGGAAUAAAAAAUGCGGCGCCCACGUAGGAGAAGGACUGCUAUACACACACACUCUAAUGUUGUUUAAUUAUUUCUUUAUUCUUCGGUUAGCUAGCUGGCUGGCCAUGGAUAUGUGGGAGCACGAGCAUGUACCGAUUGAAAUGGAGAAGUUAGCCGAUUCUUUGAGUGGGAAGUUGGAGACCCUGCGUCCCUUGUCGAAAGAGUGUUCCAUCUACAGAGUUCCUGAGCCCAAGCGUUGUUUACAUCCAAGUCAUUACACUCCGCAAAUGGUUUCAAUUGGCCCUUUUCAUCAUGGCAAGGAAGAGCUAAAGGCCAUGGAAGAGCAUAAACGAAGGUACCUAAAGUGCUUUCUUCAACGAACUAAGGUACGCAUGGCACGUUUCCUUGCAUUUAUAAAGGACAGGGAAGUAGAAUUGCGCAAUUGUUACGCUGAAAUCAUUCACAAUCUUCAAAGUGAUGAGUUUGUGACAAUGGUUUUAGUGGAUGCUGUCUUUCUCAUCGAGUUCUUUCUGAGAAAUUACAAAGAUAAUUUGAUAACUGAUGAUGAUCGCUUUUUUAGAAAACCGGAGUUGUAUUACGUAAUUCGAUAUGACUUUUAUCUGCUUGAAAAUCAGCUUCCAUUAUUCAUUCUUGGUGACUUGUUUAAUCUAGCCAACACAGCAACCUAUGAUGACCUGUAUAAGAAUGUUUCCAUUGUGUCAAUUACCUGUUUUUUCCUUAGGGCAGAUAUACUUGCGGUUCUUCCAAUAGACAAGAAUUUGCUUGAAAUCCACUUUUCCGAAGCAAAACAUUUUCUUGAUCUACUUAUACUCUGCCUUCAGCAAUCACAGUCACGCCCUCAAAUUGUACUGAAAGAUCUAAACAUACCCGGUGUAAAGGAACUUCACCAAGGUGGAAUCAAGUUUAAAUCAGGGUCAAGCGAGUGUCUACUUGACAUCAAAUUUAAUAACGGAAUUCUUGAAAUUCCAUCUCUUACAGUAUAUAGAAGGACAGAGCGUUUAUUCAGAAAUCUUCUAGAUUUUGAGAGCAUGCAUGGCUAUACUAGGUAUUUUAAUGAUUACAUUAUAAUGAUGUGUAAUCUCAUCAGCAGUCCAAAAGAUGCAGAAUUGCUCAUUGAAAAUGAAAUUAUUGGGCUCGGGUACACCGAAACACUUCCAGCAAUUUUUCGCAGCCUUGAUGAAGAAUGUAUUAUGGACAAAAGUAAUUUCCAAUAUUCUGGUAUUGUUACUAAUCUACAGUCUUAUCGGAAAUUGCCUUGGCACAAGUGGAAUACAACCUUGAAGCAAAAUUAUUUCAACACCUCAUGGGCUUCUAUAUCCGUAAUUGCAGCUGUUAUUCUCCUUCUACUUACCGUCAUACAGACAGUUUGUUCUCUCAUUGAAAGGAUUGCAUAGUAGGUAGAUUUAUUUUUCAAAUUUUGACUUCUUAAAAGGAUUUCACUCGUAUUGCCAGUGAGUGCUUCUGAUCUGUUUAGCUCAACCACAGUGUGUAAAAGAAAUAAGAGCAGUUGAUUUCUAUACUUGCUGUUUUCACUCACCUUUCCAAUUAAACAACCACAUAUUGAUAACUACUAAUUUAUCCAACUAAUUAAAGGAAUUGACAUUGUACAUAUAUGCUGUCUGUUUGUCACCUCACAUUUUAAAUUGUGUCACCGAGCUAACAUCAAAUCAUCAAUAAUGGAGAACGGCAGAGAAAAAAUAAAAGCGAUAAUCUAAAAGGUUGAUGCAGUCAAUUAAAGGAAAUGGCAAAAGAAACAGGUAGUGUACAUAUUGUACGUCUACUGGCCACCUCGCUUUUUAAAUUUUGUCUUUUUUUUUUUGGGAAAUUGGUAAUUGCAUUAGAAAGGCCAAAUUAGGACAAUAAUAUAUUAUAUUGAUCAAUAGUUUAUUGACUCUUAGGGCGCAAAUACAACUAUAUUAUAAAAGGUAAUAUCAAGCUUAAGCACAAUAUUUAAGAUAAUGAUUAAGACUAAGUUUAAAUUAAGGCAAUACCUAACAAUUAAAAAAAUAUAAUUGGAAUAUUCAAAUUAAUGUGGGGAAAGCCAAAAAAAAAAAAAUCUAGCCUCUAUACAAAACGAUAUUAAUUUCUCAUGAAUUUUGAUUCUCUGUUGAUAAAUUUGAAGACCAAGUUCGGGCUAGACGUCAUUUACUUGAUUACCUUAAAAUGAAGAAUGAUUUCAAGAGAUGUUUCAAAGGCUAUGACAAAAGUGUUGGUUACGUACGCAUCGCAGAAUUUCUUCUUCUAAUGAUAUACAUGAUAUUUUAACAUAGCUAGAAUUUUAAAUUUUAACUUGAAAUUUUUUAAAUUAUUAGCGGCAGAACAUACCUCACCAAAUUUCACUUAAAAAAAGUAUUUGGUAAAAGACUUACACCAAUCAAUGUAAAAGACAAUACGGAACUUAAAGAGAUGAAUAUCAAUGCAUUGAGUAAUUUUCGCUCACAUGCACGAAUGGAAUUAUUAAAUAUCCACUACACACUUAGUACGUACGUAGCUAGGAUUUUUAAGAACAAAUACAAUAAUCAGCCUUCUUGAGACCAGUGUUGGGUUUAUAAAUAUAUAAUGAAUCUUUCAUCUCCAUNNNNNNNNNNNNNNNNNNNNNNNNNNNNNNNNNNNNNNNNNNNNNNNNNNNNNNNNNNNNNNNNNNNNNNNNNNNNNNNNNNNNNNNNNNNNNNNNNNNNUCCCUUCCCCGAAUAAGAAAUUGGAUAUAAAACCAUCCUCAUACCCUCCCCAAAUGGGGAAAAUCCCCAAGGGCCCCCGUCCCUAUGGGGAUUUCUGUCAUCCCUAAAAGAAAUCUACUUCUUUUCCAUUAUGGUGCGGCCAAAUGAACUACUCCCACUGGGAUUCGAACUCGUUCCCUCGAUAAGUUGGGUAUGAGUACGAAUGAUGUUUUUCACGCUCAAAGUAGUUUUAGUACAACACUAACGUGUGGAGAUGCAUAAGUAAACAUAAAAGUUGAGAAAUAAAAGAAAAAAACUAUUAUUUUUUAAAUAUUAGAAACUUUUUAUGUCAGUUGUAACAAUAUGAUAGUUGCAACAAAACCAUUUUCCCGGCAAUUGAAGUAAUAUCACAUUUUUUUCAAAUUCAAAUUUUCAACCAAAAUCUGGUUUGGCAUAGACCUCCUUUGGGAUUGUUUUUGAGGCUCAAAAUUUUGAUUUUGAAAAGAUAAAAAUUAAUUUUGGUGUUUGGUGAUUUUUUUCAAAAUUAUUUUUGAUAGAAUCACCUCAUUAUACAGUAGAUUAGAAAAAUAAAAAAUGGAUAGCUUUACACAAUUGAUUUUGAGAAUCAAUUUUAUACUUAGACACCGUUUGGUAUAACUUUUCAAAUAAAAUUUAUUUAAGUAGAACUUUUAUUGAUAGAGUUUUUAGCAAAAUAAUUUUAUUUAUUUGGUUGUCGAUAAAAGCUUUUAUUAAAAAUUAUGAAAUUCUUUUAUAGGCAAGAAAAGGAAUGAAAUAAGAUUGUCAAAUAAAUAAAAGAUAUUUUAGAUAUUUUAAUAUUUUAAAAAAACUUUUUAACCUUUAGUACUUCAAAAAGUCUAAAAUUUGAACUUUACUAAUAGAUGCAAAAUAACUUAUUUAAUCGACAAAAACUCUACUAAAAAACAAUCAAACAACAAUAAAAUUUUUGAAAAGAACUUAUGAGAUUAGAUAAGUACUUAUGACCAUGAGAUAAAUCAUAUCAAACAAACACUUAAAACAAUUUCAUAUAUAUAUCUUCAUAUAUAUUAUAAAUAUCCAAAAUUAUCCUUAUUCAAUUAAGAAAUAAAAUUAUUAAAUUUAAAGAGAUUAUUAUCAUUACCAAUUAUAUUAAGAUAACAAAAUAAAAUUAAACUUAAUAAAAUAAAAUUUUUUAUUUAGUUUUUAAUUAUCUCACAUAUAUAUACACACACACACGCAAAUAAAUUUUAUUUAAUGUUAUGUCUAUUUUAAUAAUUUGUAUUCUAAUACGAUUUACCAAAUACAUAUAACUAGUUUUAUAACUCACAACACUUUUAAAAAUAAAUUUUCACUAAAUGUCUAACUUUCGUAGCCGAUUAAUUUUACAAUACAAUUAUUUAAAAGUUAUAACAUUGUCAAAUUGACCCAUAAUCGGUCCAACCCGAAAUUUGAGACAUAAAAAAUGUAUGGUACUUAUGGCGUAAAAAAUCUAUCACAAUCGUGGUGACAAUCUCUACCACGGUCACAUAAGCGCAACAAAACCUAAAUUGUCAUCUGAAGGAUCAAAGUAUUUUCAAGUAGUUAUUUAAUCUCUCACACUUAUCUAUUGUAUGUCACCACCAUCAAUAGAUGCUCAUAUUUUUUGAGCUGAACUGACAAAUUUUCUCACUCAAUUUCAAUGAGUAUUCAGAACAUCAAUGGAGAGAACCCAAAUCAUUGAAGAGAUGGAAGAUACGAAGGGCUUUCUUGGCAUAGCAAGACAGUUUAACCAGAGAAAAUAGACAAAUUUAAUAUAGGAAUCUAGCACGUGAGUCAGGGCCCGGGUUUAAUAAAAGAAUUGUCUACUUGUCGCUUUAUUUUUUUAAUUAAAUUCGGUCACCUAACCUCGACAUAAAUUUUGGACUGAUUUGUGGCCUAUUGAAUUGUUUGAGCACGAUCAUCUAGUAGCUAAUUUUUUGCUUUAUUGAAAAAUUAAAAUGAAAACAACUUAUUCAAUUUUAUUAGAAAGCAACUCGGUUUUGUUGUAUUAAAAAAAGACUCUUGACUAAUUCUCCGGAGGGGAUUGGAUAUUAGUUAUGUAAUGAUUUGUAUAAGACUUUUAUUCCCGCUCUAUUUGUCCUAGUCUUUACCAGGCUCCACUAUAUUUAUAAAAAAAAAAGACUCUUGACCUCACAUCACUUUGUCCGAAGAGUGCACAAUUGGUUGGAAUUAUUUUAUUAUUAAGGAAAAUUAUCAUUGUACCACCUUUGUUUUACCUUAUGUUCAUCCAAUUAUCAUAAAAUUUUAACAUGUUCUCUGCACCACCUUUCUUUUCACAUUUGUGUCAACUAUCCACUUUUGCAUCAACACUGUUAAAUAAUUUUAAUAAAAUGAUAAUUUUACCCCUAAAUAAAUUAAAAGAGUAUUUUAUCUUAUAAAAACUUCGAAAAAUAAAAAUUAUAAUCAUAAAAAUAUCCCUAAAUUUAAUAAAAAAAUAAAUCACAAAUAGAGGUGCUCAACUAAUUUUUACUAAAUUUAGAUUUUACAAAAUUUUAAUAAUUAUUUUUAUUAAAAAUUAUAAUUUUGCAAAAUUUUGAUAAAAAUAACUGAAUUUAUUUAUUAAAAAACUAUAAUUUUGUAAAAUUUUAUUAAAAUAACUGAAUUUAUUUCUUAAAAGAAUAAAUCCUAAAAUUUUAAUAAUUUAGGGGAUUUUUAUUAAAUCCCAAAAUUUUACAAUUAUUUUUAUAAUUAUAAUUUUAUAUUAAGAUAUUUUUAUUAAAAAUAAAAAUUCUAAUUUUGGGAUUUAUUUUUAUUAAAUUUAGGGAUAUUUUUAUCAUUAUAAUUUUUUUAUUUUUUAAAGUUUUUAUAAAAUAAAAUGGUAUUUUAAUUUAUAUGGGGUAAAAUUAUCAUUUUAUUUAAAUUAUUUAACAAUGUUAGUGCAAAAGUGGUUAGUUGAUACAAAUGUAAAAAGAAAGGUGGUACAGAGAACAUGUUACAAUUUUUUAGUGGUUGGAUGAACAUAAGACAAAAUAAAUAUGGUGCAAUGAUAAUUUCUCUAUUAUUAAACCNNNNNNNNNNNNNNNNNNNNNNNNNNNNNNNNNNNNNNNNNNNNNNNNNNNNNNNNNNNNNNNNNNNNNNNNNNNNNNNNNNNNNNNNNNNNNNNNNNNNCAGCCCACAAAAUAUUUCUUAUUACGAGAGCUUGGUCUUUUAAUAAAUAGCAAUCAUCCAUGCAUCACCAAACAAGUAUCUAACGCAGUUGUGUUCCCAAGCCUCGAACCGAAGACCUUGGUUAAGAUAGAAUAACUCCAUGCCAGCGGAUUUACGCACUUGUUGAUAUCCAGCCAAUAAUUAUCGUAAAACAUAAAACUACUUCAAUUAAAAAGCGAUCGGAAUUAAAAUUUAAAAUGCUUAAGCUUAAUCAUCACCAUCUGGAUCAACACCCUCAAAAGUCCACUCACACUCCUUCCUGGCUGCUUCCUCCUCCUCGGGCGUAAAUUAUUUUCAAUCCCAAAUAACUUUACCUCCUAACAUACUCGACACUCUUGUUCUUGAUCUUGUUGGCCAAAGCCUCUGUCAAAUAAUCCAACAUCUUUUUAUUAUUUUUCAUUUCGAUUGUAUGGCUUCGAAACUCCUCUAAAAUAGCCACGGCCUUUUACUAAUUUAUCGAAAUAAAGAGAAUGCGUCACUGAGCUAACGUCAAUAAUGGAGAAAAGCAGAAGAAAUACGAAAAGCAAUGAUAUAAAAGCUUGAUGCAGUCAAUUAAAGGAAAUGGCAAAAGAGAGAAAAAUAAGCAAAUAUAGUAAGUAGCACACACCCUUCAGAACCUCCCUCCUGUUCGAUUCUGUGUUCGCAAACCACUUGCAUUAACUUGCAUGGAUGAAAGAUACGAUAAUAACAGACCGAAUAUAAAGCAAAACAACAAGAACACUGCGACUCGAAGUGUACAUAUGCUAUCUUUUAACGCAAAAAAUUUACUCAACAUUAUAAUGAAUAUAUGAGAACAGUAGAUGCCAACUGAGAAAAUAAACUAAGAAAAUAUCUUAUUGAUCUGUUAUGCGCCUUUGCAUCUAAAAUAAGGUAGAUGUCAUACGAUAAUUAUUCUGGCUAUUUUAUUUAUUUAUGUGUUUCUCUGUUCCAUUUGAAUUAGAACAAUCACAAAAUUUUUUUCUUAUUAUUAUAUAUUAGCCAACAAAAUGCAUGUUUUGAUGCUGGGAUUAGCCACACAAGGAGGAAGAUGGAGAGGUUUCGAAAUAAAGAACUAUUUUCUUUUUACAACGGUGACUUAUAACAAUGACAACUAUUCUUAGAUUUUUCUAAUGUCCUAAAAUACGUUCUCUAUCUAUAACAGUUCAUCGACUAUAAUUGUGUAGCCAGCAUAUAUAUAUCGAUUCCAGAUUAGCAAGAGAUAUACCUUAAAUUUUUCAUAAUGAAUUAGUUGCUUUAGGUGAGAAAUUUUAAUCAAAGUUAAAAUUUUUAUUGUGAAAUUACAGAUUAAUUUCCAACCUAGAAAAAAUUAGCUAUGGUUAGCCUAAGUCAAGUGAAGCACACAAUGAUAAAAGUAGAAAUUUUUUUAAAAUGCGAGAAAGUUCAAAAUAAUAAUUUUAAAAUUUAAUUUUAUAAUACUAUUAAAUUUUACGGUUUUAAAACUUUUCAUUGUUUUCGUGAACUUUAAUAUUCUAGACUAGAAAACUACUAAUGGUAAAAGUUAAUAAUCUACAGCACAAAACCAGAAAAAAUAAAGUGAUUGAAUUAAAGAAAUUAAAGCAUAUACAUGGAUCCCUGAAAGAAAUAGCGAAAACGCUUGGUGGCCCGGCAAAGACUUGUGUCUCUUAACACCAUAAGUCAAGCACAUAAUAAUAAAAAUUACAUAUAUAUAUAUAUAUAUAUAUAUAUAUAAAGACUCAAGUCGUCCACUUGGUAUUUAUAAGGAAUUAAUUAUUAUUAUUACUAAUUUUUGGGGUGAGGAUUUUUGUUUAUUAAUUAUAAAAGUGGGUUGUUUGGGCAUGUGAAGCAAAAAGGCCACUGGCAGACGCAGGAAUGUGAGUUUUUCUUGUUCUUUUUUUUAUUUUUAAUAUUGAUGUUUCAAGAUGCAUAUUCUUAUUCCUUCAAAAAAAAAAAAGAUACAUAUUCUUAUGUGUACCUUUAAUCAUUAAUUCUGGAAAUGAGUUAGCUGUGCAGAUUGUUUUCGGUUAUUAAUUGUUUCUAAUGCUGUCAUCUAAAUAUACUGAUAAUUUCAUUUAUUUUAAUCUGUUGCUACUGCAGUGAACAAUUAAUAGAAGAUGGAUGACAGUGAGGAUGUAUCGAUUGAUAUGGAGAAGUUAGCAGAUACUUUGAGUGGGAAGUUGGAGACCCUGCAUCACUUGUCUAAAGAUUGUUCCAUCUAUAGAGUUACUGAGCCCACGCGGUGUUCAAAUCCAAGUCAUUUUACUCCGCAAAUAGUUUCAAUUGGCCCUUUUCAUCAUGGUAAGGAAGAGCUAAAACCCAUGGAAGAGCAUAAACAGAGGUACCUAAAAUACUUUCUUCAACGGACUAAGGUGCGCAUGGCACGUUUCCUCUCUUUUAUAAAGGACAGGGAAACAAGACUGCGCAAUUGUUAUGCAGAAACCAUUCGUAAUCUUGGAAGUGAUGAGUUCGUAGCGAUGGUUUUAGUGGAUGCUGGCUUUCUCGUUGAGUUCUUACUGAGAUUUCAUAGACCUCGUUUCAUAACCGACGAUGAUCGCAUUUUCAGAAAACCCCAAUUGUGUUACGAAAUAUGGUACGACUUUUUGCUGGUGGAAAAUCAGCUUCCAUUAUUCAUUCUCAAUGACUUGUUUCAUCUAGCCAAAACAGCAACCUAUGAAGAUGCUUUUUACGAGAAUAUUUCCUUUGUCAAAAUUACAUGUUUUUGGUUAGAGGACCGUAUAGUUAAGCCACUGGACAAGAAUUCGCUAAAAAUCCACUUUCCCAAAGCUGAGCAUUUUCUUGACCUGAUUUUACUCUGUCUUCAGCCAUCCCAGUCACGUGCUCAAAUUAUGUUGAAAGAUCAAAACAUACCCAGUGUGAAGGAACUUCACCAAGCCGGAGUCAAGUUUAAACCAGCUGCGGGGUCAACCAAAAGCCUACUCGACAUCAAUUUUAAUCAAGGAAUUCUGGAAAUUCCAUUUUUCGAGGUGUAUGAUGACACGGAGCGUGCGUACAGAAAUCUUCUAGCCUUCGAGCGUAUGCAUGGCUACAAGGGAUAUUUUAAUGAUUACAUUAUAAUGAUGGCUUGUCUCAUCAGCUGUCCGAAAGACGCAGAAUUACUUGUUCAAAAUGAAGUUCUUGUGCUAGGGAUUACUGAAACUGUUCCAACUGUUUUUGGAAAACUUGAUCGCGACUGUACGUUAUAGAGUUAUGAUUUCCAAUAUUCUGGUGUUGUCACUGAUUUACAGGCCUAUCGCAAAUUACCAUGGCACAAAUGGAAGGCAGCCUUGAAGCAAAAUUAUUUCAACACUCCAUGGGCGUCUAUCUCUGUAAUUGCAGCUGUUAUUCUCCUUCUACUCACAGCCACGCAAACAGUUUCUUCUCUAAUUGCAUUGUAGAUUUAUUAAUUUCUACUGUUUGUGAUCAAUUUUUGUGUUUUUUAGAAGCAUUUCAUUUGUAUUGCCUGCUAGUGCCUUUGUUUUGUUUAGCUCACCCACAGAAUGUAUAAAAAAUAAGAGCAGUUGAUUUCUCUAGUUAGUGUUGCUGUUUUCACUCGCCUUUCCAACAAGUCAAGAACCUAUAUAUUGUCUACUUGUCACCUCAAUUUUUAAAUUGUCACCUAGCUGACAUCAGUAAUGGAGGAUGGCAUGGCAGAUAAAAAAGAAAGGCAAUAGUGUGAUAAUGUAGCAAUGCGAUUCUAUGAAAGAUUUUAAUAUUUGAAUAACCAGUAUUAGUAUUGAUUCUACAAUUCGUAAUAAUUAAUUAGUUGCUUUAUUGAGAAAUUUUAUAAUCACGUUAGAACUGUUACUGUGAAAUGAGAGAGUAAUUUGUCUACAGUAAGCCCCAAGUCAAGUCAAGCACAUAAUUUACCCUGCAUCACUUGUCUAAAGAUUGUUCCAUCUAUAGAGUUGCUGAGCCCACGCGGUGUUCAAAUCCAAGUCAUUUUACUCCGCGAAUGGUUUCAAUUGGCCCUUUUCAUCAUGGUAAGGAAGAGCUAAAAGCCAUGGAAGAGCAUAAACAAAGGUACCUAAAAUACUUUCUUCAACGGACUAAGGUGCGCAUGGCACGUUUCCUCUCUUUUAUAAAGGAAAGGGAAACAAAACUGCGCAAUUGUUAUGCAGAAACUAUCCGUAAUCUUGGAAGUGAUGAGUUCGUUGCGAUGGUUUUAGUGGAUGCUGUCUUUCUUAUUGAGUUCUUUCUGAGAUAUUAUAAACGUAACUUAACAACUGAUGAUGAUCGCAUUUUUAGAAAACCCCAAUUGUGUAAAGGAAUAUGGCAAGACUUUUUGCUGCUAGAAAAUCAGCUUCCAUUAUUUAUUCUCAAUGACUUGUUUAAUCUAGCCAAAACAGCAACCUAUGAAGAUGCCUUUUACGAGAAUAUUUCCUUUGCCGAAAUUGCAUGUUUUUUGGUUCAGGGAUCAAGUACUUGUAUUUCUUCCAAUGGACGAGAAUUCGCUAGAAAUCCACUUUUCCAAAGCUGAGCAUUUUCUUGAUCUGAUUGUACUCUGUCUUCAGCCAUCCCAAUCACGGGCUCAAAUUAUAUUGAAAGAUCAAAACAUACCCAGUGUCAAGGAACUUCACCAAGCCGGAGUCAAGUUUAAACCAGCUGCCGGGUCAACCAAAAACCUACUUGACAUCAAUUUCAAUCAAGGAAUUCUGGAAAUUCCAUUUUUCAAGGUGUAUGAUAACACAGAGUGUGUGUACAGAAAUCUUCUAGCCUUCGAGAGUAUGCAUGGCUACGGCGGAUAUUUCAAUGAUUACAUUAUAAUGAUGGCUUGUCUCAUCAGCUGUCCGAAAGAUGCAGAAUUACUCGUUCAAAAUGAAGUUAUUAGGCUGGGGAAUACUGAAACUGUUCCAACAGUUUCUUCUCUAAUUGCAUUGUAGAUUUAUUAAUUUCUACUGUUUGUGAUCAAAUUUUGUGUUUCUUAAAAGCAUUUCAUUUGUAUUGCUUGCUAGUGCCUCUGUUUUGUUUAGCUCACCCACAGAAUGUACAAAAAAUAAGAGCAGUUGAUUUCUCUAGUUACUGUUGCUGUUUUCACUCGACCUCCCAACAAGUCAAGCACCUAUAUAUUGUCUACUUGUCACCUCAAUUUUUAAAUUUUGUCACCUAGCUAACAUCAGUAAUGGAGGAUGGCAUGGCAGAGAAAAAAAGAAAGGCAAUAAUGUGAUAAUGUAGCAAUGCGAUUCUAUGAAAGAUUUUAAUAUUUGAAUAACCAGUAUUAGUAUUGAUUGUACAAUUCGUAAUAAUUAAUUAGUUGCUUUAUUGAUAAAAUUUAUAAUCAAGUUAGAGUUUUACUGUAAGCCCCAAGUCAAGUCAAGCACAUAAUGACAUAACAUAAAAGCAAGAUAAGUCAAGCAAUCAUAAAAGCAUGGGUCCUGGAAGUUGAAAGAAAAAGCAAGAGCGUUUGGUGGCCCAGCACCGAGUGAUGAAAAUUUGAUUAUUCACUACCCGAUCGGACAGAUGAAGACCAGUCAGCUGGGUUGGUUUGGCUAUUCCUUUCUGUUGAAAAGGACCCUACACUAAGGAAUUUGAAGUGACUUCGAUUCACAGCAGCUGUGCGGGGCAAUAAAUUCAAUACAUGAUCUCUGCCAAGUAAAAGACACGAUUACGAGGAAGCACUAUGCUUCAUAAAAUAGGGGUGUCAAUUGUUGUCGAGGUAAAUCUCUUUGCGUUACAGUUGAAAUAGAGUAUUUAAUUAUUGACGUAAAAUGUUGAACUUUUAAAGUUGUGGGAGCUAAACAGAAAAAUAAAGAUUUUAAAAUCUGAAAUUGUAAACUUACAUAAUUAUAUUUAAUAGGGAAAUUAUCACUGUACCACUUUUAUUUUACUUUAUGUUCAUCUAAUCAUCAUAAAAUUCUAACAUGUUCUCUAUACCACCUUUCUUUUUUAAAUUUGUAUCAAUUAGUUACUUUUAUACUAACACUGUUAAAUAAUUUAAAUGAAAUGAUAAUUUUACCCCUAAAUAAAUUAAAAGAUCAUUUCAUCUUAUAAAAGCUUUGAAAAAUUAAAAAAAUAUAUAAUUAUAAAAAUACUCCUAAAUUUAAAAAAAAUCCCAAAUAGAGGUGCUCAUGUGAUUUUUUAUUAAAUUUAGAUUUUACAAAAUUUUAAUAAUUAUUUUUAUUAAAAAUUUAUUAUUUUUCCAAAUUUUAAUAAAAAAUAAUGAAUUUAUUUAUUAAAAAAUUAUAGUUCCCAAAAUUUUUAUUAAAACAACUGAAUUUAUUUAUUAAAAAAUAAAUCCCAAAAUUUUACAUUUAUUUUUAUAAUUAUAAUUUUUUAUUAAAAUAAUUUUUAUUAAAAAUAAAAAUUCUAAUUUUGGGAUUUAUUUUUUUAUUAAAUUUAGGGGUAUUUUUAUGAUUAUAUUUUUUUAUUUUUCAAAGUUUUUAUAAAAUAAAAUGGUCUUUUAAUUUAUUUAGGGGUAAAAUUAUCAUUUUAUUUAAAUUAUUUACCGGUGUUAGUGCAAAAGUAGGUAAUUGAUACAAAUUUAAAAAGAGAGGUAGUGUAUAAAAUAUGUUAAAAUUUUGUGGUGAUUAGAUGAAUAUAAGAAAAAAUAAAGGUGGUGCAAUGAUAAUUCUCCUAUUUAAUAAUUGUUUUUGGACAUAUGACAACAGGGCAGGGCCUCUGUUUUCCAUGACACCUGCAACAAAACCUUUUUCUUGGCAAUUGAAGUAAUAUCACAUUUUUUUUCAAAUUCAAAUGUUCACCUAAAAUGUGGUUUGGUGGAGAGCUCUUUUGGGAUUGUUUUUUAGGCUCAAAAUUUUGAUUUUGAAAAGACAAAAAUUAAUUUUGGUAUUUGAUGAUUUUUUUUAAAAUUACUUUUGGUAAAAUCACCUCAUUAUAGGGUAAAUUAGAAAAGCAAAAAAUGAAUAGCUUUAAACAACUAAUUUUGAGAAGUAGUUUUAUACUUAAACCCCCAUUUGGCAUAACUUUUCAAAUAAAGUUUAUUUAAGUAGAGUUUUUAACAAAAUAAUUUUAUUUGUUUGGUUGUCCAUGAUAGUUUUUAUUAAAAAUUAUGAAAUUCCUUUAAUAGGCAAGAAAAUGAAUGAAAUAAGAUUAUCAAAUAAACAAAAGAUAUUUUAGAUAUUUUGACAUUUUAAAAAAGCUUUUUAACCCUUAGUACUCCAAUAAGUCCAAAAAUUUGACUUUCGCUAAUAGAGGCAAAAUAACUUAUUUAAUUAUAAAAAUUCUACUAAAAAACAAUCAAACAACAACAUUAAAAAAAACUUAUGAGAUUAGAUAAGUCUUUAUGACCAUGAGAUAAUUCAUAUCAAACAGACACUUAAAAUAAUUUCAUAUAUAUCUUCACAUAGAUUAUAAAUAUACAAAAUUAUCCUUAUUCAAUUAAGAAAUCGUAACACCCUAAGCGAAUCCCACAUCGACAAAGCACAAGAGAGAUGCUGGAUUUAUAAGAGGUGAUGGAAAAUAUCGUCCACUUUGGGUCUUAACAAGGCCUGCAGUUUUAUUCAUGGGGCACCCUUACACCCUAAAAUGCGUCUUGCAAAUUAAGGUGUAAGUCACCCCUUAUAAACCUAGCAUCUCUCUCAUACUUUGCCGAUGUGGGAUUCGCCUAGGGCGUUACAUACACCCCUCUUAGGAACUCAGCGUCCUCGCUGAGGUUUGCCCCACCAUCGCUCAAGAGAACACAUAGAGCCGCUUCGAUACUAUCUGUCAUGACCCAACCAGACCUGGUAAGAUAUUGUCCGCUUUAGGCCUUAACAAGGCCCGCACUGUUUUAUUCCUGGGGCGCCCAUAGACCCCAAAACAUAUCUUAUCAAUUAAGGUGUUGAUCACUUCUUAUAAACCCAGCAUCUCUCCUGUGCUUUGUCGAUGUGGGAUUCGCCUAGGGUGUUACAUACACCUCCUAAGGGACUGAGUGUUCUCGCUGAGGUUUGCCAUACCAUUGUUCAAGAGGACACGCAGAGCUGUUCUGAUAUUAUUUUUCAUGACCCAACCCAAACUUGAUAAAAUAUUGUCCGCUUUGGGCCUUAAUAAGGCCUGCACGGUUUUAUUCAUGGGGCCACCAUACACCCCAAAACGUAUAUUGCCAAUUAAAGUGUGAAUCACCCCUUAUAAACCCAAUAUUUCUCCCGUGCUUUGCCAGAAAUAAAAUUAUUAAAUUUAAAGAGAUUAUUAUCAUUAUCAAUUAUAUUAAGAUAACAAAAUAAAAAUUAAACUUAGUAAAAUAAAAUUUUUUAUUUCAGUUAUUAAUUAUCAAUAUAUAUAUAUAAAUUUUAUUUAACGUUAUAUCUAUUUUAAUAAUUUAUAUUCUAGUAAGAUUUACCAAAUACAUAUGACUGGUUUUAGAAACUCACGGCACUUUGAAAAAAAUUUACUAAAUGUUUACAAAACUUAAAUUAUCAUCUAAAGGAUCAAAGUAUUUUCAAGUAGUUAUUUAAUCUGUCAAACUUUAUCUAUUGUAUGUCACCAACACCAAUUAUGCACAUAUUUUUUGAGCUGAACUAACAAAUUUUUCACUCAAUUUCACUGAGUAUUCAGAACAUCAAUGGAGAGACCCCAAAUCAUUGAAGAGAUGGAAGAUGCGAAGGGCUUUUCGCUAUAGCAAGACAGUUUAACCAGUGAAAAUAGACAAAUUUAAAAUAGGAAUCUAGCACAUGAGUCGGGGCCCGGGUUUAAUAAAGGAAUUGUCCACUUUUCGCUUUAUUUUUUUAAUUAAAUUGGGUCAUCCAACCUCGACAUAAAUUUUGGACUGAUUUGUGGCCUAUUGAAUUGUUUGAGCACGAUCAUCUAGUUGCUAAUUUUUUGCUUUAUUGAAAAAUUAAAAUGAAAACAACUUAUUCAAUUUUAUUAGAAAGCAACUCGGUUUUGUUGUAUUAAAAAAAAAAGACUCCUCACCUCUUAUCACAAUUAGUUGGAAUUGUUUUAUUAUUAAACUGAACCCUAUAACUUAUUUUAUUAUAUUCCUCCAUCGAGGAUCAUGCGAGCAAAGCGCGCGUUUAAACAAUCCAAUGGGUAUUCUCAAAAAAACAAAAAACAAAAAAUAAAAAAUCAGCCCACAAAUUAUUUCUUAUUACGAGAGCUUGGUCUUUUAAUAAAGAGCAAUCAUCCAUGCAUCACCUCUUUUCUUGUGUGUGUUUUUUUUUUAAAUACACAUAUUCUUUUUUUGCUGAAUUUUACUUAAAAAUAUAUAUUUUUUACACUCGUCCAUUGCUGUUUUAAUGGUGUUAAUAGAAUUAAUAGAAUAUUGGUUAAAUGAUUUUUUUACCCACAAACAUAAAAUUAUUAUUUUACCCUAAAUAAAUGCCAAAAAAAUAAAUAAAAAAGAAAAAAACUACAAAAGACACUAAUAAAUAUAAAUUGCAAGUAGUGAAGUGUGAUAAGAUAUGAACAAAUUCAACAUCAAUCAAUAUCCAGCCAAUAAUUUUUUUUUGGUGUAUUAAACCAGCCAAUAAUUUUUUCUCUUGAUUAUUAAAUCAUGCAGGGUAGGACCAUUAGGGUCACUAGGGCGGCAAAACUCUCCCAAUAAAUAUUUAAUGCAACUGCGUUUUUUUUUGGUGUAUUAAACCAGCCAAUAAUUUUUUCUCUUGGUUAUUGAAUCAUGCAGGGUAGGACCAUUAGGGUCAUUAAGGCGGCAAAACUCUCCCAAUAAGUAUUUAACGUAACUGCGUUCCCAAGCCUCGAACCGAGGACCUUGAUUAAGAUAAAAAUAGCUCAUGUCAGCUGAUCUACUCGCUUGUUGUUAUCUAGCCAAUAAUUAUCAUAAAACAUAAAACUACUUCAAUUAAAUAACGAUCGGGAUUAAAAUUUAAAAAACUUAUGCUUAAUCAUCACCAUCUGGAUCAACACCCUCAAAAGUCCACUCACACUCCUUCCUAGCUGCUUCCUCCUCCUCAGGCGUAAAAUUAUUUUCAAUCCCAAAUAACUUCCUAACAUACUCGACACUCUUGUUCUUGAUCUUGUUGGCCAAAGCCUCUGUCAAAUAAUCCAACAUCAUUUUGAUAUUCAAAUAAUUCGCCACCAAUAUCAUCUCCUUCGACUCAUCAUUGCUCUUGCUCUUCCCAAACUCCUAGUUGAACGUCUUCACCUCCUGUUUCGGUUAUUGUUCUUAAUGCUACCUGCUUUCUUUCUGUUUUACUGAUUUCAUUUAUUUCGUUGCUACUGCAGCCAGGAAUUAAUGAGAAGAUGGACGCCAGAAAGCAUGAGCAUGAGGGUUAUGACGCGAUUAAUAUGGAGAAGUUGGCAGAUUCUUUGAGUGGGGAACUGGAGUCAUUGCAUCCCUUACCCAGAGAGUGUUCCAUCUACAGAGUUCCUGAGACCACGCGGUGUUCCCAUCCAAGUCAUUUUACUCCGCGAAUUGUUUCAAUUGGCCCUUUUCAUCAUGGUAAGGAAGAGCUAAAAGCCAUGGAAGAGCAUAAGAAACGAUACCUUAAGUGCUUUCUUCAACGAACUAAGGUACGCAUAUCAAGUUUCCUUGGAUUUAUAAAGGCAAGGGAAGCAGAAUUGCGCAACUGUUAUGCUGAAACAAUUCAUCUUGGAAGCGAUGAGUUCAUAAAAAUGGUUUUAGUGGAUGCUGUGUUUCUCAUUGAGUUCUUUCUGAAAUUCUACCAACCUAAUUUCAGAACUGAUGAGGAUCCCAUAUUAGGAAAAUCAUUUUUGUAUAAUGAUGUGAAGCAUGAGAUUUUGCUGCUAGAAAAUCAGCUUCCAUUGUUCAUUCUCAACGACUUGUUUAAUCUAGCCAAAACAGCAAUGUUUGAAACGAACUUGUAUGAGGAAAUUUCCUUCAUGACAAUUACCUGUUUUUGGCUCAGGGGUGAUAUUGCUGGAUAUCUUCCGAUACACGAGAAUUUGCUAGAAAUCAACUUUUCGAGAGCUAAACAUUUUGUUGAUUUGCUUAUACUCUGUCUUCAGCCAUCCCAGUCGCGUGCACAUAUUCCGUUGAAAGAUGUAAACAUUCCCAGUGUAAAGGAACUUCACCAAGCUGGAGUCAAGUUUAAACCAGGGUCAAGCAAUAAUCUACUCGACAUCAAAUUUAAUGAGGGAAUUCUAGAAAUUCCAUUUUUAACGGUUUAUGGCUCCACAGAGCGUUUGUACAGAAAUGUUCUGGCUUUCGAGAUGAUGCAUGGCUACACUGGAUAUUUUAAUGAUUAUAUUAUAAUGAUGAAUUAUCUUGUCAACACUCCAAAAGAUGCGGAAUUACUCGUUCAGAACGAAAUUAUAGGGCUAGGGGAUACUGAAGCAGUUCCAACUUUAUUUCAUAUCCUUGAUAAAGGAUGUGCGAUAAAUUAUUCUAAUUUCCAAUAUUCUGGUAUUAUUGCUAAUCUACAGGCCUAUUGCAAAUUACCGUGGCACAAGUGGAAGGCAACCUUGAAGCAAAAUUAUUUCAACACUCCAUGGGCGUCUAUCUCUGUAAUUGCAGCUGUUAUUCUUCUUCUACUCACAUGCAUACAAACAGUUUGUUCUCUCAUCGCAUUGUAGAUUCACUUUUACAGUUUAUUAUGUAUUAUUUUCUUAGAAGGAUUUCACUUGUAUUGCCGGUGAGUGUUUCUGUUUAGCUCAACCACAGUACGUAUAUAAAAGAAAUAAGAGCAGCUGAUUUCUGUACUUACUUUUGCUGUUUUCACAAUAAGUCAAGCACAUAAUGAUAAAAAUUUGAUGAUUCAAUUAAUAUUAGAAAAAGCCUCAAGUCCUCCACUCGUCCAAUUGUCCAGAACUUGAAAAACUUGGAAACACAAGUUUCUGACUUCAUCUUCAGAGAAAUUUUUACCCUCUCUUUCUUUCAUAAGUUUUAGAAGAUCAGAUUCCAUGUACUAGAACACAAUGAAUACAUCUUCGUGUUUUUUGACAAGAUUCCUCAAUUUGACAAUGUUGGGAUGAUUAUUCAUCUUCCUUAGCAUUUAACUUCUUUCAAGUUCCUGCUCUCGUCCAAAGAAAAAAUCUUCUUCUUCAAUUUCUUGACAGCAACAUAUUCGCCGCUCCUUUUAUCAAGAGCCUGAAACACGUCGCCAUAAGCCCCCGACCCAAGUUCCCUAAUCUUUUCGUAUUUCUCCAUUAUUUUUUCGUAUGAUAUAUGAAACGAAAUUUUUGUUUCUCUACGGAUAUUCAUAUGUGACAAUAACUUGCCGUAUUGAAUUAGGGAAUAAUUUCCUAUUCCCAUUACAUGUAAUGAUAAUGCCUUAAUUAAAUAGGAAACUAGUUUCCUAAAUGAAAUUAAUAUGGUACUAGGAAAAGGAAAUUUGUUUAAGAAGUGUACUAGGAAAAAGUUAUAUUAGUAACUUUCAACAUUUUCUUAAUUAUCUCAAAACAUCCAUUUUUUUUUUGUUUUUUAUUUAACUAGAUGGGCUUGUCAAUUAGUAACUAAUGUAAUAUAAGUUAAGUAAAACAUCAAUUUUUAAUAUUUAACCAAUUAGGCCAUUUGAAAUCUAACAGUUUCUCCCGGUUAAUACUAUUUACUUUUCUUCGUUGUAGGCUAAUAAAACAAGAGAGAGACUAAAAUCAAGUGUAAGUUGUAACAAAGAGGAAUUUAUAUAUACAUAUAUAUAUAGUAGUUUUUUGGUCCGGGAUCUUAAAGUGCGGGAAAAUCUGAGAAAUCUUUAAAAUAAUGGAGUUUUAAAGACUUACAACUUGAAGCGCUUAAACAGCACGGUUUAUUCGUUUUCCCGAAUGUUCCCGCACUAUAAAAUCCUGGAUUGGAACAUUUCUAUAUAUAUAUCAUAAGAAUUCGAGCUAGAUUUCAUAAAAUCACACUUCACAAAUACAUACAUUGAGAUGUGAAAUUGGCAAAAAAUUUCAUUGCCCUUAUUGCACUUAUUAAGGAAAUCACACAAAACUUGCACACUUACAAAUAGAAACACUUAAUCCCACAAUCGAAAACUUCAAUUUGAACCAAUCAAUUAAUUAAUUAGCACUGCCCUUCUGCAAUUGGCUCUAAUCUCUCCAUUUCGUCAGUCAAGAAAUCAAUAUUUCCCAUAUUGUUCAUGGACUGUCCAAAGCGUCAAAGAAGUCUGAUUGGCUAUUAGCAAAAUGAUUAACAAUGGCGAUUGUAUCAGUACGGGUUGUAGAGAAUAACUCCUGAUCAGCCUGGAGAAGGCCGCGAUUGUCUUGAAUAAUUUGUGAAGUAAUUAUUAUCAAAAUAAUCAAGAGCUGAUGGAUCAAGAUCAUUUAAGCACCCGCAGGGCCUGCUUUUAGCGUUUCAUCAAACAGUUAGACUGAUUCAAUUGAACAAGAGGUUGCUGCCUAUGCUCUUAUAAGGAUAUUGUAAGCGAAAAGUGGUGGCGUCACGGGCAAGUCAUUGAAAAAGAAUCUUGUGAAGUUGAAUGAAAGUAAAAGUUAAGUGCGUAUGAAGUGUGAGAUGAUGUCUUAGUUGUAAUCAAGUGAUGUUUUGAGGAAUAAAAGUGGUUUUUGACCGUUGGAUUAGGGUUUGAAUUUGGGGGGAAAUCAUGGCCCUAUAUACUAAAGCUAUUUCUUUCUCGACAAUUAACUUAAAAAGAAAAUUCAUUUUCCUGUGCGGUUCACUGAACUAAAGAGCCAUUAAUUUAUGCGUUUUUGCAUGUUAAGCUCUGUUGAAAUGAACUCAAACUCGUUAAACGAUUUGUCGUUUAGAGGGUUGGAAAGUCAAGUGACAUGUCGUUUCAACUGGUCAUGGAUCCAGAACCGACAACUUGGUGCUGUGGUCCAAGAUCAUUAAACUCUCACGUGAUUAACAUACGCUUGUUUUAAAGAUUAAACGGCAUGCCUUAUCGUCGUUUAACUGUUUAAGGAGGCUUUAAGUUGCACGUGAAAGGCUCGUGGUCAAGCAGUUAAGUUUCUUAGUUUUGGAGGGAAUCUUCUGGAUUUGUAACACCAGUAGCAGCUGAUAUAUAUGCUGGUUCUGGUUUUAUCUAGAUCUAUGGAAUUGAGAGUGAUAAGGAAGCAUUAGAGAGAGUGAAACUUUUCAUAGUGUUCUCUGUAUUGGGCUUAUCAUCUCUGUAACCUUUGAAGCUUAAUAAAGUGGCUCCCUGAGUUUGUUUUCUCUAGUGGAUGUAGGCACUGUAACAGGAGCUGAACCACUUAAAUUGUUAUGUGUUCUUCAUUCUUUGUGUUGUUAUUCUUUGAUCUGGUGAGUGUUACGACUUGUGUUGAUUUGUUUCUUAAUCUUGGAGUCUGAAUUAGAUCUAGAGGGUGGGAUUAAUCCGAUAUAAAAGGGGUUUGUUUCACAACAAGCUCGAUCUUAGAGUGAAGGCCUAACAAUUUGAGAUGGAUAUAGAUUUGUUUGAUGCUAAAAGAUGAACAUAAAACUCAGGGUUUAAACAAAAAUCAGUGGUCAUUGGAUGGUUUCGGAAAUAGAUUUGUUGAAGAUGGCGUAGAAAGUAAAUUAAAUUAGUAAUUUUACAUUAUUUGUCUAUAUUAGUGCUUUCGGGGGUUAAAAUAGCUAACCAUUGGUCGUAAUCCUUUAUACAUAAAAUAUAUAAAAGGAAAAUUUUGAGAUCAAAUCAAGUUGACAUUAUAAUUAGAAUUGAGUGCUCUCAGUGCAUGCAUUCUCUGUUGUUGAAUUCUUGCCGUACGUACUUUUUAACUAUUUAUAUAGGAAUAAAUAUAUUUGAAUCCGAAUACUGCAAAAGAGUACACACUAGGAGCAUUGGUGGUGGAAUUUUGUCGGAAGACAAAUUUUAGAAUACAUGUAAGGUAUCACAUACUGACAUCAUCUAUAUAAUAAACAAAUGACACUAUGUUAUAUGUGCAUUUAUUUUUUUUUUAAAUCAUUAUAUAAUCAGUAAUUAUAUUAAAUUAAAAUACAUAUGUCAUACAUUCAAGAAUUGUUUUUAUUAUCUCUGAUGUAUUAUAUAUUUUAUCAUUUGUGGGCCUCCGGUCCCUAGAUUAAAUAAAAUAUACUAAAAAGGGAAAGCGUGUAAACUGAUAUUUAGGUAAUUUGUACGUGAAUGUGAUCGUUUUGCCCCCUUGGGUUCAAUGGUUUUAUGUUAUGUAUUUCAAGUUUGUUAUUUUUAUAUUACGGUCCAUGCUGGAUUAAUAGGAAUAAUAAAAAUCUGAGUGGAGAUUGCUUACAGCUAGCAUGUUGGGCUCGACUAUUGAGGCCUAAUUUAAUAUUGAUUAUUUUACAUAGUUGAAGAACGAGAAUGAUGUUUGGCUGCUGAGAAAAAUAAGAACAAGAUCUGAAUAUUUUCUAGUAACUGAAAAUCAUUAAUCACGAAUCUUAUUGAUCUGUACAAAACUAUUUCUAUUUAUACUAAGCUGAAGCUCAGCACUAAUAGAUGUGAUUAGCUGCAACUGAGUAACUAACUCUAUUAACAAACUAUAACAGCUUUAGCUACUUAACAUAUACACAACUAAUUACAUAGCCACCAGGCUCCAGCUGGCAUGGCAUGUCAUCUAUUUGUAACUGCAAGUGGCUGCUACUGUGAUCCUCUGCUUUGCUAGUAAUCUUGCAAACAUGAGCUUCCUUGACAUCCCCCCUCAAGCUCAAUGGUCUGUUGAUGAUAUUGAGCUUGGAUCGAAAAUAGUUGAACUUGGGAAAUGACAGAGCUUUAGUAAGGACAUCAGCAACUUGUUCUUCAGUUGGAAUGUACCUCACUUCUAACUCUUUUCCAAGCACUUUAUCUCUAAUAUAAUGGACAUCCAACUCAAUGUGUUUUGACUUAGAGUGAAGAAUAGGAUUUCGAGCUAAUUCUCCUGCACUCUGAUUGUCACACCAGAGGAUUGGAGUUGGCAAUUGUACAAUGUUGAGUUCUGACAGCAGAGAUUGCAGCCAUGAAAGUUCUGAACUUGCUAAAAAGAGUGCCCUGUAUUCACUUUCAGUGCUUGACUUAGCUACAAUAGCUUGCUUUUUUUUAUGACCAGGAAAUUAAAUUAUUACCCAGGUAGAUGCAGUAAGCUCCAAUAGAUUUGCGAUCAUCAACAUCACAUGCCCAGUCAGCAUCUGAGUACCCAGUUAGACCAGCAAGUCCAAGUGUUCAUUCCUUUUGAAUAUAUAAACCAUGAGUGGCUAUAGCUUGAAGAUACCUGAGAACCUUCUUGCAUGCUAACCAGUGCUGGAGUGUAGGAUUACUAAGAUAUUGGCUAAGUUUGUGUACAGAAUAUGCAAUGUCAGGCCUGGUUAGAAUCAGAUAUUGAAGCCCUCCAACAAUGCUCCUAUAAAGAGCUGGUUCUUCAAAUUCUUUCCCCAAAGGACCUUGAACAUUUUUCUCUAGUUUGAAGCCAGUGCUGAAAGGUGUAUCUGACCCUUUGCAAUUUUGCAUUGAAGCUUUGCUUAUCAGAUCCUUAAUAUACUUUGUCUGUGACAGAUGCAUUCCUUGAGCUGUAUAACAUACUUCUACUCCAAGAAAAUAAGCAACCAAUCCCAAAUCCUUGAGAGCAAAGACCUUACUGAGUUUACUAAUAAACUCUUCAAGUAAUGUUGAGUCAGGGCCAGUCACCAGAAUAUCAUCAACAUAGAUCAAUACAAUAAUAAUUCCUUUAUCAUCAUGUUUGACAAAAAGAGAUGUGUCAGCUUUAGAAUUGCAGAAUUUCCAGGCAGUAAGACAACUUUACAGUUUGUCAUACCAAGCUCUUGGAGCUUGUUUCAAUCCAUAUAAAGCCUUGGUAAGCUUGCAUAUGUAGCCUUCUUUGGAUAUAAAGCCCUCAGGCUGAAUCAUAUACACAUCCUCUGACAAAUCCCCAUUUAAGAAGGCAUUAUUCACAUCAAUUUGUCUGACCUUCUAGCUCUUCAUGACAGCUAGACUAAGAAUUAAUCUUACUGUUGAAGACUUUACUACAGGACUAAAUGUUUCUGAGUAAUCAAUACCUGCAGUUUGAUGAAAUCCCUUGGCUACCAGCCUAGCUUUAUGUUUUGAAACUGAGCCAUCUGUGUUGUACUUGGUUCUGAAAACCCAUUUGCAACCAACUGGUUUAUAGGAUGAGCACAUAGGCACCAGAGUCCAAGUUUUGUUUUUAAUCAAAGCAUCAUACUCAGUCUGCAUAGCUGCCUUCCAUUUGGGAUCAAACAAUGCUUCUGAAAUAGUGGAUGGUUCCAGGCUAUUGUGAUCUGUUAAGUAGGCUUUUGGUUUGAAUAUUCCAGCCUUUGCUCUGGUUAUCAUUUUGUGUGUUGAGAGAAUUGGUUUAGGUUGAGGUGAUUGUGCUGGUGAAAUCAGAGAUUGUGAUAAAGUAGGCUGAGAGAAUGAUGUGUUUUGUGUUGCAUUGAGUGGAGGUAUAGGGAGAUUUAACUGAGUAGGUGAAGAGGGUAUGGUUUACUGGAAUAAAGUAGCAGAUGGUGAGGGUUGAGAUGAUGUGUUGUGAGAAAGAGGUGAAGAUAUAGUAUCAAGGUGAUCAGAAUGUGAACCAUUACCUGCAGUAUCAGCUUCAAAGGUAUUCAAAUUGCUAUUGGAAAUAGGUACAAUAUACUGCUGAAGAAUAUUUGAUUGAAAUCCAGAAGGUUUGGAUGGAGAAGAUGAACUGAAAAUUAAGGAAUAUGGAAAUGAAGUCUCAUAAAAAAUAACAUGACUUGCUAUAUAGAUUUUUCCAGAGGGAUGGAGACACUUAUAACCCUUAUGCAAAGAACUAUACCCCAGAAAAACACAUUUGGAUGUAUGAGAGUGAAACUUGUGUUGAUUAUAAUCUCUGAGAAAGGGAAAGCAUGAACAUCCAAAAGUUCUUAAGAAGUUAUAAUCUGGAGUGAGAUGAAAGAUAGACUCAUAAGGGGAUUUCAUUGAUAGAACAGGAGUAGGCAAUCUGUUGAUAAGAUAUGUGGCUGUAUGAAAAGAAUCCCACCAGAAUUUAAUAGGUAGGUUAGCUUGUGCAAGUAAAGUAAGUCCAAGCUCAGUGAUAUGCCUAUGCUUUCUUUCUACAAUUCCAUUUUGAUUAUGAGUGUAUGGGCAUGAAUGUCUGAAUUGGAUGCCCUCUGUGUGAAGAAAGUUAACAAAUGAUCUAAAUUCUCCCCCCCAGUCUGAUUGAAGACAUUUGAUAGGUCUGUCAAGUUGCUUUUCUAUUUGGUUUUUGAAGAUUUUGAAGACUGACAGUGUUUCACUUUUGGUUUUCAAAGGGAAGAUCCAAGUAAACCUUGUGAAAUCAUCAACAAAGCUGACAUAAUAUCUGUAGCCUUGUGAGGAAACUACAGGGGCUGGUCCCCAUAAAUCAGUAUGCAAUAUUUCCAGGGGAGACUUUGUUUUGAUAGCAGUGGCUGGAAAAUGAAGCUUGUGCAUUUUUCCUAUUUGACAAGCAUCACAAAAAUCAAAGGUUUUAUUCUUAUUGUUCAGUUUGAAAGAUGAACAUGCUUUGAUUACAUGAUUUAGAAUCUUAGAAGAUGGAUGUCCCAAUCUUUGAUGCAAUACAGAAGUACUUAACAAACACUCAGAAUUUGUACAAGGUGUUGCUGCAGUAUGCAGACAGGAAGUAUUAUUUAAAAAAGUAGAAUUGACAACUGAAAACAUUGAAAGAGGAGUGGUUGACUCAGCAACAAAGCUUUGGCUAGAUGCAGGAGAGAUUGUGUCAACAGAGGGGACUGUCUUAUUAGAUGAAAUCAAUAGCAAUUUGUAUAAACCUUUUUCAGCUUUACCCUGCAGUAUGAUCAAAUUCCUCACCUUGUCCUUCACAAAACAGAAAUUAUUAGUAAACUCAAUCACAACAUCAUUAUCUUUUGUGAGUCUAGAGAUGCUAAUAAGGUUUUUGGUAAUUUGUGGUACUAAAAGGAUGUCAUUUAGUUUAAGAGUUAAGGAGGCAUUAUUGGAGUUAUGUGAUUUCAAUGCAGCAUUUCCGAUAUAUGUUAUACUUAAUCCAGCACCAUUGCCAACAACAAGUUUGGAUGUACCUGUGAAAGCUUCAGAAACAUGCAUGUUGUUGAUAUCAUUUGUCAAAUGGUGUGUUGCACCACUGUCCAAAUACCAGUUAGCAUCAGCAGGUCCCUCCAUAUUAGCCAAAUAUGCAGACUUUGGAUUUCUGUUUGGUGGUGGUCUGUAAGAUCCAGAUGCAAUAAAUUCUUCAAGUUUCCAGCAGAUAUUAGCAGUGUGGCCUGUUCUGAGACAGAUUUGACAGGUUGGCUUAGAGACAUUCCAUUGAGGCUUAGUGUUUCCAGAUGGUCUGCUAUUGUUAAAUCCACCAUUUCCAGCAUUCUGAUUCCAGUUGCCUCCUCCUCCACCUCUCUGAUUAUCUCCUUGAUAGGCCUUGAACUGAUAAUUAGUGCCAUAAGCAUUUCCACUAUUAGCAUUAAAUCCAGAGCCUCCAUAACCUCCCUUGUAACCAUUACUGUUACUGUUUCCAUUGUUACUAUAACCAUGAUUAUAUCCAAAGCCACCAAAACCUCUUCCUCCAGACAUAUUUCCCUUCUUAUAACCUCUGUUGUAAGUGAGAUUAGCCUCAAAGUUUUGUUUCACAUCAGUAUUAGCUAGCAUAUGAGUUUGUUGUUCAAUCCUAGCUUCUUGAGUUAGGAGCAUAGCAUAAGCUUCAUUUACAUUCAUUUUUCCUACUCCUACUUGUCCAGUAAUAUAGGUAGCAACAGAGUUAUAGUCUGGACCUAAACCAGAGAGUACAUGCAAAAUUAGAUCAUCAUCACUUAAUGCACUUCCAGCAGCAGCCAUAUUAUCAGCAAUACUUUUCAUCUUAAUGAAAUAAUCAGUAAUUUUCAUAUCAUCCUUCCUAGUUGCAUUCAUCAUAUAUCGUAAGUGCAGAAGCCUAGAUUUAGAUUGAGAUCCAAACUGAACUUCUAUAGCUUUCCAUACCUCUCGAGAAGUCUCUAGAUUAAAGACUAGACUGAUGAUACCUUCACUCAUUGAAGACAGUAACCAGCCGAGAAGCACCUGAUCUUGUGAUCUCCAAGUUGCGAAUUCUGGAUUUUCUACAGAUCUCAGUUCGUCUUCAAUUCUUUGAGCAAUGUGCGAAGGAGGUGGAGCUGUUGACUCAUUAAUGAAUUUCUCAAGUCUGUUGCCACGAAUUGAGGCAAGAACUUGAGAUCUCCAAAUCAGAUAAUUGGAUUGAUCUAGCUUAAUAGGUGUAUUGAAAGUGAAAGUCACGUUUGUUGAAUUAACAGUUGUUUGAUUAAUUGGAGCUUGAGAAGAAGAAGAAGCUAAAUGGACUGAAGCCAUUGCUACUAGCUCUGAUACCAAGUUGAAGAACGAGAAUGAUGUUUGGCUGCUGAGAAAAAUAAGAACAAGAUCUGAAUAUUUUCUAGUAACUGAAAAUCAUUAAUCACGAAUCUUAUUGAUCUGUACAAAACUAUUUCUAUUUAUACUAAGCUGAAGCUCAGCACUAAUAGAUGUGAUUAGCUGCAACUGAGUAACUAACUCUAUUAACAAACUAUAACAGCUUUAGCUACUUAACAUAUACACAACUAAUUACAUAGCCACCAGGCUCCAGUUGGCAUGCCAUGUCAUCUAUUUGUAACUGCAUGUGGCUGCUGCUGUGAUCCUCUGCUUUGCUGGUAAUCUUGCAAACAUGAACUUCCUUGACAUACAUUAAGAAAAUUGGGUAGGACAUAGAUUUGAGUUGAGCUCCUGAAUGCUCCUUUAAAAUUCUUAUAACUACAAAUGAAUAUUACUAUGCUUACUAAGUUUGAUACUUAAUUAGAAUACUCACUGAUGUGUCACUAAUCAUUUAAUAUUAUUUAUAUAGUAUUAAUUGAUUUCAUUAUUAAUUAUUUAGUUAUUUUUUUACAACUUAUUCAAGGGAUAACAUAUAAGAUACCACAUCAUUAAGUAUCCUAAUUAAGUAUCCAGGUUGAGUAAGCAUAGCAUUACUCAAUAUAAAUUAAUAUAUUAAAAUUAACUAUCUUCCUACCAAAUUUCGUCCUAAAAAAAAAACAUUUUAUUAGUUUCACUUAAAAAAUACAUACAAAUCUUAAAAUCUUAAAUUAUUUUCUUCUUAUGGUAUAAUUUGUAUUUUUAUAAGUCAAAACUCUCAUAAUUCUCAUGCAGUGGGUCUAAAAAAUUUAUAACAAGAGUAAUUUAUAUAAGCGUUUGAUUGAAUUUUCAUUCAAUAUAAGAAACUACUUAAUUUCUAUAUAGUUAUUUCAGUGAUUUCAAUUAAAAAGAGAUUUUAUAAAGAAUUUUGAAGAAUCAAAAGGGCUACUCUACAUUUUUUAUCCCGUUGGUUGGGGAAUUGAAGACACUUAGGCCGUUAGUUAAAUUAUUUAUUUUUAAUGUUCAAAUUAAUUGAUUCUUUAACAAUUAAAUAAACAAAUGAAAAGAUAAAACCCCAUUAGGUUAUAUAAAUGUAGGACUUGGCCUGGUCUCCUUAAAAUAAAAUAAAGACUUGGUCAAGUGAACCGUAUGGAGCCUUCCAAAUGAAUUUCUCCCUCCUUUCUCAACUUUCUUUUAGCCGUCAUAAAUUACAUAUUCUUGGUCAACCAUAUUUUGUGUGUUGUUAAUUCAUCCACUAUUGGCAACUGGCAACGGGCAAAUAAAUGUGAGCAUUGACUUUCGUUUUUAUCAUAUGAUUUUUUGGGUCUUCCAUUAGCUAGCCUUUUAUAAAUUCUUUAAAGCAUGUUAGCCGAAUUUUAUUUUUUAAAAUAAAAAUUACGCCGCUAUUGACCUCCGUUGACCGGUGUUGACCACCACCAUUGGUCAUUGUUGACUGCCAUCUUUUAUCGCGUUAAAUAUAUAAUAAAGAUCAGAAAAAGACAAUUUACUUAUUGGAAGUGUUAAUUUUGCAGAAAAUUCACUAUAUAUUUGGAAAUAUGAGUUAAAAUUUUCCCAAACAUUUAAACAAUAUUUGAGGUGAAUAAUAAUGUGUAUUAGCAUUUCUAACUCCAUAGAAUUGUAGAUCGACUGAUGAGGAUUCCAUUGGUACUAAUUUUGAUGGUGAAAUACAUUUCUGGCAAAACUUCGGCGAGUGUCCGAUGAUGGUCCGACGAUUCACCUUAAUGCUUUUUCUUUUUUCAAAUAAAUUAUCCUAUUAAUUUAAAAAAUAAAUAUAAAUUAUUUGCACUUUAACUUAUUUAAAAUUAAUUUUAUUAGAGGAUAAUAUUGGAAUUUUUGUAUUUCAAUAAAUGAGGAAUUUGAAAUCCUUGCCCAUUGAUAAGAAAUACAAAUUCUCCAAUUUGAUGGAAAUUGAAUUUCAACAUUAAAUUUAGUCCAACCAAACAGUGGAAAGUGGGAAAGAAAUCAAAUUAUUUUCCUCUCCCCACUCCUCUACCACCAGGCAAACAUGGCCUUAAGGGUACGCAUGGCACGUUUCCUUGCAUUUAUAAAGGAAAGGGAAGCAGAGUUGCGCAAUUGUUAUGCAGAAACUAUUCAUAAUCUUCAAAGUGAUGAGUUCGUAACAAUGGUUUUAGAUAACCCAAAUUGUGAGAAGAAAAAUCGCCUGAGCUUUUGCUGGUAGAAAAUCAGCUUCCAUUAUUCAUUCUCAAUGACUUGUUUGAUCUAGCCAAAACAGCAACUUGUGGUGAUGAGUUGGACGAGAAUAUUUCCUUCGUCAAAAUGACCUGUUCUUGGAUCAGCAAAUUUACAAGUGCUUGUCUUCCAAAACAGGAGAAUUUGUUAGAAACCCACUUUUCGAAAGCUAAACAUUUUCUUGACCUGAUUAUACUCUGUCUCCAGCCAUCCUAGUCGCCUGCUCACGUUGAAUUGAAAGAUCAAAUUAUAUCCAGUCUGAAGGAAUUUCACCUAGCCGGAGUCAAGUUUAAACCAGCUGCUGCAGGGUCGAGCAAAAAUCUACUUGACAUCAAUUUUGAUCAAGGAAUUCUGGAAAUUCCAUUUCUUUCUGUGUUUGAUAACACGGAGCGUUUGUACAGAAAUCUUCUGGCCUUCGAGAGGAUCCAUGGCUACAUUGCAUAUUCUAGUGACUAUAUCAUAAUGAUAAGUUACCUCGUCAACACUCCAAAAGAUGCAGAAUGGCUCUGUCAAAAUGAAAUUACUGGGCUAGGGAAUACGCAAACACUUGCAGCUAUUUUUCGCAAACUUGACAAAGAAUGUGUGAUCGACUAUCUUCAUUUCCAGUAUUCUGGGAUUGUUGCUAAUCUACAAGCCUAUUCCAAGUCACCUUGGCUCAAGUGGAAGGCAACCUUGAAGCAAAAUUAUUUCAAACUCCGUGGGCAUCUAUCUCCGUCAUUGCAGCGGUUGUUCUCCUUCUACUCACAUUCACACAAACAGUUUGUUCUCUCACUGCACUGUAAAUCUAUUUUCAAAGUUUUUAUAAGAAAAAUUUCACUGCUCGUAUAUAUUGUCAGCACUUUUGUUUUGCUCCGCUCAACCACAGAAUGGAAAACAAAUAAGAGCAGUUGAUUUCUGUACUCGCCGUUGCUGCUUUCACUCAAUUUACUAAGCACAUAAUUAAAAUGAUAAGAAUUUGUUAAUUUACUAAGCUCGUGCGUCGGUAUCAAGUAACAAACAUUGUACACAUAUAUUGUCAACUUGUCACCUUACUUUUUAAAUUGUCGCCUAGCUAUAACAUUGUUAAAAAGAUACGAGAGCAGUUGAUUUCUAUACUUACUGUUGUUUUCGCUCACCUUUCCAAUUGCAUAAUAAUAAAAAUUUGAUAAUUUUACUAAUUUAUCGGAAUAAAGAGACAGACUAAUUUAUUAAUUGUCUACGUGUCACCUCAAUUUAGAAUGCGUCACCUAGCUAACGUCAAUAAUGGAGAAAGGCAGAAGAAAUAGAAAAGCAAUAAUGUAAAAGUUUGAUGCAGUCAAUUAAAGGAAAUGGCAAAAGAAAGAUAGACAUGUUAAUAAAAUAGGUAAACCAGAUAAUUGAAUAACCAGUAUGCGUAUUGACUCUAGAUUAGCAAGAGAUGUACCUUAAAUUUUUUAUAAUGAAUUAGUUGCUUUAGUGAGAAAUUUUAAUCAAAGUUAAAAUUUUUAUUGUGAAAUUGCAGCGUACUUUCCAACCUAAAAAUUGUCUACGGUAAGCCCCAAGUCAAGUCAAGCGAAGCACAUAAUGAUAAAAAUUAGAUAAUUCAAUAUAUAUAUAAAGAUUCAAGUUGUCCACUUGGUCUUAUAAGGAAUAAGUUAUUUUUAAUAUUAUUCAUUUAUUUUUUGGGUGACGACUUUUGUUUUUCAAUUAUAAAAGUGGGUUGUUUGGUUAUGUGAAGCAAAAAGGCCAUAGGAGAAGCAGGAAUGUGAGUUUUUCUUGUUCUUCUUCUUCUUCUUCUUCCUCUUAAUAUUAAUGUUUCAAGAUACGUAUUCUUAUAUGUUCCUUUAAUCAUUAAUUCUGGAAAUGAGUUAGCCUUGCAGAUUAUUGUCGGUUGUUAAUUGUUUAUGAUGAUGCUAUCUAAAUUAUCCGAUAAUUUCAUUUAUUUUAAUUUGUUGCUACUGCAGCGAGCAAUAUUUUAGUAGAAGAUGGAUGUAUCGAUUGAUAUGAAGAAGUUAGCUGAUUCUUUGAGUGGGAAGUUGGAGUGUUCCAUUUACAGAGUUGCUGAGCCCAGGCGGUGUUCAAAUCCGAGUCAUUACACUCCGCAAAUGGUUUCAAUUGGCCCUUUUCAUCAUGGUAAGGAAGAGCUACAACCCAUGGAAGAGCAUAAACGAAGAUACCUUAAAUGCUUUCUUCAACGAACUGAGGUAUGCAUGACACGUUUUCUGACACUCAUAAAGGAUAAGGAAGCAGAAUUGCGCGAUUGUUAUGCUGAAACAAUUCACAAUCUCGGAAGCGAUGAGUUUGUAACAAUGGUUUUAGUGGAUGCUGUCUUUCUCAUUCAGUUCUUUCUGAGAUAUUAAGAACCUCGUUUCAGAACCGAUGAUGAUCGCAUAUUUGGAAAACCCGAAUUACAUUGGGACAUACGGCAUGACCUGUGGCUGGUUGAAAAUCAGCUUCCAUUGUUCAUUCUCAUUGACUUGUUCAAUCUAGCCAAAACAAAAACCUGUGGUGAUGGCUUCCUCAAGAAUAUGUCCUUCAUCACAAUUAGUUGCGCUUUGAUCGGCAAGUAUAGAGGUGCUCGUCUUCCAAUACCGAAGAAUUUGUUAGAAAUCCACUUUCCCAACGCUAAACAUUUUCUUGAUCUGAUUGUACUCUGUCUUCAGCCAGCUGACACCAAGCCGCGCGCUGGAACUGAAUUGAAAGAUCCAAACAUACCCAGUUUGAAGGAACUUCACCAAGCCGGAGUCAAGUUUAAACCAGCUGCAGGGUCAACCCGAAAUCUGCUUGACAUCAACUUUAAUCAAGGAAUCCUGGAAAUUCCAUAUCUAACGUUGUAUGGUUCCACAGAGCGUUUGUACAGAAACCUUAUUGCCUUCGAGAGUAUGCAUGGCUACACUGGAUAUUUCAAUGACUACAUUAUAAUGAUGGGUGAUCUGGUCAAAACUCCAAAAGAUGCAGAAUUACUCAUUCGAAACAAAAUUUUUGGGCUAGGGAAUACUGAAGCACUUGCAACUACAUUCCGCAAACUUGAUAAAGAUUGUGCAAUAGAUAAUUUUCAUUUCCAAUAUUCUGGUAUUGUUGCUGAUCUACAAGACUAUUCCAAACUACGAUGGCACAAGUGGAGGGCAACCUUGAAGCAAAAUUAUUUCAACACUCCAUGGGCAUCUAUCUCCGUAAUUGCAGCUGUUAUUCUCCUUCUACUCACAGCCACACAAACAGUUUCUUCUCUAAUUGCUUUGUAGAUUUAUUUCUAAUAUUUUUCAAAUUUUGUAUUGCCGUUGCUUAUGUCUGGCUCAACCACACAGAUUGUAAAAUGAAAUAAAAGCAAUUGAUUUCUGUCCUUAAUGUUGCUGUUUUCACUCGCCUUUCGAUCAAGUCGAGUACGUAAUGAUAAAUAUUUAAUAAUUUAGUAGCUUAUUGGAAUAAAUUAAUUGAGAAACAGACAUUGUACAUUUGUACGCAUAUAUUGUCUACUUGUCACUUGACUUUUCUAAAUUGUGUCACCUAGCUAACAUCAAUAAUGGACGAUGGCAUGGCAGAGAGAAAGGAAAAGCAAUAAUGUAAUAAUGUGUGAAUAAUCAGAUUCUGUUUUUAGGGGGUUACAUGAAAAGAUUUGAGACUUUUGUGGUCUUUAUUCAGAUUGACUUCCGUUUGUGGUCAAUAUGUAAUUAAGUUGCUGAGGUGGCUAAAGUUCGUUAUGUUUGUUAAGCUGCUUCCGGAAAAUUUCCAGAAUUAGCUUUAUAAGCAGAGCUGUUACGUAGCAUCUGGUGUGUGUAACUUUUCUCUUUCAUUUUUCAUCCAAAUUCUGUGAUUCUGGUUUCUCUGUAAAGCUUGUAAUUUCCUUUACAAGAUUCGAUAGAUUUGUAACUGGUUUGAGCAAUAAAAGAGUGCCAAUUCUCCUUUCAAAUUGCGUUGCCUGGCAUUGGUGUAUUAAGAUUUGUUUUCUGUUCUUGCAAGUUGGUUCUCUGUUUUGUUUCGAUCUUGAAGAGUCUUCUUGGUUUCUUUUGUAUCUGAAAUCAACAUAAUGCAUCACUGUCAUUCUGUGAAAGAUCUUAAUAAGUGAAUGACCAGUAUUAGUAUCGACUAUUGAUUCUAGUUUAGGAAGAGAUAUGCCUUAAUAAAUUUGUAAUAACUAAUUAGUCGCUUUAUUGAGAAAUUUUACAAUCAAGUUAAAAUUUUUAUUGUGCAAUUACAGAGUAAUUUGUCUACAGUAAGCCCCAAGUCAAGUCACGCGCACAAUGAUAAAGCAAAGAUAAGUCAAGAAAUUUAAAAAAUGCAUGGAUCCUUGAAAGAAAAAGUCAAAGCGUUUGGUGGCCCAGCCAAGAUUUGUAUCUCUUUACACAAUUAGUCAAGCACAUAAUGCCAAAAAUUUGAAAAUUUACGAGCCCAUCGAAAGGAUAAAGACCGGCCAGCCUGGUUCGUUUGGCUGUUCCUUUCUAUUGAAAAGGACCCUACAGUCAGGAAUCGGAAGAGGAGCACAGAUCUUAUAUCCUUGUUGGGGGCAAUAAAUUCAGUAUAUGAUAUCUGCCAACCAGCAGAUUAAAUGGAAGCACCAUGUAUGCUGCAUAAAACAACGGCUGAGGAAAGGACGUUGCAAAGCUGCUGCGGCCGUUGGGUGCCCACUGGUACCUGUGUGGAAUACUACUUUUGUGCCCUUACCGAUCAGACUAAACUUUUAUGUCAAGUGGUUUCUCUAACGACUGGUAUAAUCGAAUUGUUUUGUUAAAGGCAAGAGAAUUAAUAUUAUUGUUCUGAAGAAAGGAAUUAUGACCGGCAUCAAUCAUUUGAGUUUCUACAUACAUGGCUCAAUUUAUUUCAAGGACUAGGUUGAUCAUAUUAUUGUGUUUCUUCAUCUGCAAUUAAUACAGGGGCUACAGAAAAAACAAUGUGAGAAGAUAUUCACUCACUUUUAAUCUUAAAUUACGAUGGGUUAAGUUUCUGAUUUAUGUACACUGCGAUCGUUAUAUCUUUUCAUCAUUCUUCUGGAUUUUCAUAUAGUGAACUACUUGCAAAUAGUUUUAUCAGCUUUAGUAAAGACUGUUCGAUGGCCUUUGGUUGAUUUUUUUCUGGUGUUGUGUUGUUAAUCGGCAGGCCUAUUGCAAAUUCAUCGUAAAUCCAUAGAUGAAUAAUUCUAAACUCCUCAAAUAAGUAGUUACAUUGUAAAUUCAUAGUUCCAAACGAUCGAUGUAUACAAGGUAUGUAAAAUCAUACGGCUGUGUCAUGCAUAUGUUUAAAGUAUUGAACAAGUUUUGCAUACGUGGAUGGAUGGAAAGUGGCGGAGCUAGAAUGAAAUGUUUACGGGGGUCAAAUAUUAUAGAGGUAAAUCUUUUUGGGUUAAAGUUGAAAAAGAGUAUUUAAUUAAUGGGUAAAAUGUUAAACUGUUAAAGUUUUAGGGGCUAAACAAAAAAAUAAAUAUUUUAAAAUCUGAAAUUGUAAAUUUAAAUAAUUAUAUUUAAUAAUUGUUUUUGGACCUACAAUAACAGGGCAGGGCCUCUGUUUUCCAUGAAGCAGCUUCCCCAUGGAUGAAAGUAUCGACAUCAAUACUUAACACAUGUUUAUGCUUUUACCUUUUUUCAUGAAGAAGCCGAAACAAACCUGCGUUUAGUUUUAAAUUAAGUAACUUAGAUGAGGUUCAAGAAUAUUGUUGAUGCGAGAUUCCGGUUCUCCUCGUUCUACGACCAGGAUCUCUGCUCGAUCAACUUCCCCACGACAAGGAGGUCUCCUAGUAAUGCUUCUUCUCCAGAUAUCCCUGCACACACAGACAAGUCAGAGUACGCCGGUUGUUCUCCCGGCGCAAACCCUCCGACGCUCAAGUCAGAUAUCAAGGUUCGGGGAACGCUCGCCACAGGUCUUAUGGCUUUUUCGUGGUUUUUUUCUUUUAUCUCAAAAAAGCUAACCCUUUUACCUUCGUUGGCUACCUUUUUAUAGGCUUCCUCUGAAUCCCAGUUUUCCGCUUUUUUCGAGACGGUCUGGGGCUCUGACUGCUGCGUUAUGGGCAAACAGGGGAUCUUGCGUGUUACGCCAUGGUUCAGGGGAAAGCGUGGCUGUCGUGGUUCUGUGAGAUCUUGCGUGUUACGCCACGGUUCAGGGGAAAGCGUGGCUGUCGUGGUUCUGCGAGAUCUUGCGUGUUACGCCACGGUUCAGGGGAAAGCGUGGCUGUCGUGGUUCUGCGAGAUCUUGCGUGUUACGCCACGGUUCAGGGGAAAGCGUGGCUGUCGUGCCUAGAUUCUCGGGCUGGAGAGCAUGUCUUGCCAACUGCCGUCGACCGGGUCUCCUCGCCUAUCGACCUCUAGCCGGAAUGGCCGUAUACCUCUUAUAGGAAAUUGACCUCGCGGAUGACAACAUCGUGGACGAGCAGGAUAUUUCUGCUCCUGUUCUUCCGCGCACCAGGCUUUUACGGAACACACCGGUUCGCAGAACUCUGCCAUCAGAUAUCUGCUCGUCAUUCCUGGUCUCGUCGACAUAUUUAUCCCAAACAGUAUCUCUUCCAAACACCGGUCCCCCAGUUUCUGGUGUUGGGUAAUGUAGUGGACCAGCAGUGGAAACUCGACAGUACUCGCUCGCGUGGGAUUGGAAAAGGCUACCAAGAGUCAUGUCGCAUUUAAUUGCGGACGAGGUGACGUGGCAGAAAUCCCCCCCUCCAUUUGAAUUUCAAACCGACGGUUAUGAGGCCCUCGGGAUUCGGCGCAGUUAUAUGCUGGCAACCCAAGAGUCCGUCCUCAUUUGGAAAGCCAAAUCCUCUCGAACGGCAUAUUCACCAUUCACUCCGUCUCUGUUUCUCCGGCAAAGAAGUUCCGGCACGAAGCCCCCAUCCUUGCCUUUCUCCGAUUGAAGCAGUACUUCAGGUAUUACUUCUCUCUCCUCGGUCUCGGAUAGUUUGUAGAUAACUUCUUUUUUCUUUCGUUUGGGUAGUAGUUGGUGGUGUUGUGGUUAGAGUUUAGGGAAUGUCGAAAGGCAAAGAGAAGGUCAUUGAGGUUGAUGACGACGAGUUGGACUUCCUGCCUAGUCUGCUCACCGAUCCCGCCUUUGACCCCGAGGUCCCCUUAGAGCCUAUUAGGUCUAGUGUCAGGACUAGUGCUAGGAGCAUGUCUCCCCAAACGACCUCUACGAGCGGGAGUAAUGGUGAGGAUGGAUCUUCUGACUCCGAGGAUACUUUGAGUGAGGGUCGAGGAGAUGAUUCUGGUGAGGCGUCCCCAUCAGGAGCGCUGCGACCAGAGGGGAGGAGUACAAUAGGAGGUAGAGCCCUAUCGCGGGAUUACGCUAUUGAUUACAUGACGUGCACGACCACGUUUGAUGAGCUCGAGGACCUCCGGCUGAGGUAUAGCAUUCCUGGCGAGAUACCUCUCAAGGUCCCGGGAAAGAAGGAUGCUCCCAGCCGGCCUCCUAGGGGAUAUGUUACCCUGUAUCUGGACAGCUUUAAGUACGGGCUGAGGUGUCCCUUGCAACCUUACCUUGCCCGGAUACUUAACGGGCUAAAUCUAGCUCCUGGUCAGCUGAAUCCCAAUGGGUGGAGAGUGCUCUCUGGUCUGUUCAUAUUGUGGGACAGAUGUUGCCAAAGCGAGCCCACAGUUGAUGAGGUGAAGCACCUGUACCAGCUAAAGAGCAGCCCCAAAGAUGCCGGCUGGUACUACUUCCAAUCUAGCACCAAGAGCAGGAAACCUAUAACCGACCUCCCUACUGGUGGUGGUGGGAAUUGGAAGAGAAAGUUCUUUUUUGCUGGGGGUCCUUGGGGUCAGGUCGCACAAAUGGACGGGAAGGAUUAUCGGGUCCCACCCCGUUUCACGGUCCCAGGUUGCCUGCUCGCUUCAGAUGCCUUGUAUCCAUAAUUGUUCUUGUUUUAUUGGCUUGUUUCUAACCAAGUGUCUGUUUGUGUUGUAGUUUCUUGGGGCGUUCAUUUCCCACUCCGACCCGGCCAGCUCAAACGGGUUGAGGCUGUGCUAGUCAAUUCCUGCUCGAGCCGGGAACUGUUAACCACAUACAACUUGCUCGAGUCUCGCUUGAUACUUCCUGGCCAUAGGAUGGAGGACGCUGUGAUUGGGGCUCUGACCCGAAAACGUUCUCGACCUCCAACCACGAAGAGGGACGAGAGUAAGGAUGCCCCUACCGCAAAGCAGGCCAACAUCGUGCAGCAGGCCCCACCCUUGAAGAUUUUACCUCCGGCUCCUGUAAAAGUCGGGGAAGCUAGUGGAGUAGCCACAGAUCCUGCUACCUCUUCUCCUCCUGUCGGGCCUCGAUCUCGCUUACCUGACAGCCGAGCAGAACAUCUGGUCCCUUACCUCAAUGAGUUAACUAAAUCCGUGAGCAAGAAGGACCUGGAGGACUUUGACGGCCGCACCUUGGGUGAGCUGGUGGGGGCCAUGCAGCAUAGCGCUUUCCACCUCAGCUGCAUGACCACCUAUUACAAGGCUAAGGUUGGCCGCUACGACCGGAAGAUGAAGGAGGAUAUUCAAUCGGCGACGAGCAGAGCUGACGUUGCCGAGAAGAAAGCAGGGGAGCUGAAUCUCGAGAAUCUGAAGCUGAUAGAGCAAGAAUCACUUGCUCGAGGAGGAGUUUACCAAGGUCAAUGAGGAUCUGCAAAGGCAGAAGGCUAUGUAUGAGGCUCAGCUCGAGUCUCUCCGUGACUCCCACCGAGCUCAGGUCGAGAACUUGGAGAGGGAGGCCGACAACCAGUACGACCAGGGACUUCGGCAUUCCUAUCGUUGCAUCAUGGCCGUCCUCGGGAAGCAACACCCUGACCUGAAGAUGGAUGACCUUGCAGCUGGUGUCGCUCGGCAUAUGGAUGAGGAGGCGGCCAAGGAAGAUGCCGAGGGGGUAGAGCCGAUCGUGAUUGAGGAGGAAAACUCUCCUCCUCGUGCAGUCCCUGCUGAAGUUGGCGAGGCGAGCACCCCCCCGGACGCAACUGGCGAUACCCCCCCGCACCUGAGGAGGUCCAGCCAACCGAUGCUGCUCGGCUCACUGAUCCGCCGUCUUUUUGAUAUAUUUCUUUUAUUGUAAUGGACAAUGUUCAUGAAGAUUAUCCCCUCUGUUAAUCAUUAACAAAUUAAUAAAAAUGUUUUUUUAUUACUUUCUUGUGUUGUAAUUAUGAAUUAAUUUUCGUUUGAGAAUCUGCUUGUCUUUGUCUAGACGAGCAGGUUCCGGCUUGGCUCAUGGUUUUUCCGCAUGCCUUUGAAGAUUUUUCAAUGCCUGGGAUUCGGUUUGCCUUCGCGCGGUCGAGCAGAUCCUGGCACGCUUGGCUUCGGUCUCGCCAUAAGACAGGCUUUGAGACUUGGCGAGCCUUUGCAUGCCUUGGGAAUUUCUUCGAAUGCUCUGGAGUCUGCUCGCCUUCUCGUGGUCGAGCAGAUCCUGGCAUGCUUGGCUUCUGUCUCGCCAUAAGACAGGCUUUGAGACUUGGCGAGCCUUUGCAUGCCUUGGGAAUUUCUUCGAAUGUUCUGGAGUCUGCUCGCCUUCUCGUGGUCGAGCAGAUCCUGGCAUGCUUGGCUUCUGUCUCGCCAUAAGACAGGCUUUGAGACUUGGCGAGCCUUUGCAUGCCUUGGGAAUUUCUUCGAAUGUUCUGGAGUCUGCUCGCCUUCUCGUGGUCGAGCAGAUCCUGGCAUGCUUGGCUUCUGUCUCGCCAUAAGACAGGCUUUGAGACUUGGCGAGCCUUUGCAUGCCUUGGAUUUUUCUCGGUUUCGAGCGAAUGAAAUUCCGCGACGUUCCAUUAAUGGCAGGAUUUGACUUACAUGAAAUUGUUCGGACAUAAAGCGUGAAAGAUAAACGAUAAUGAACAUGAGCGAAAAUAGCUUUCAAAUGUGAACAAGUCUUACUGGAAGUAUUUCCGGAGGUGUGCUGCGUUCCAUGGGCGUUUCACCUCGUGGCCGUCCGCGCGGACCAGCUUGUAAGCUCCGGGUCCCGCUAUCUGCUUGACUCUAUAUGGCCCUUCCCAAUUCGGUCCCAGCACUCCUUGAGUCGAAUCUUUGGUGCUCUGAUUCACUCUUCUCAGUACCCAGUCUCCGACCCUGAAUUGCCGUAUGUUCACCUUCUGGUUAUAAUACCGAGCAACCCUUUGUUGGUAAGUGACUGAUCGCUCGGCUGCUUGCUCCCUCCUUUCCGUUAGCAGAUCAAGAUUCAAACAUAUCUGCUCGUCGUUCUCCUGCUCAUUGAAAUGACCUGUCCGGUGUGUGGUCGUUCCUAUCUCAGCCGGCACGACCGCUUCAUGUCCGAAAGCCAAAGCGAACGGUGUCUCCCCAGUUGCGGUUUUGUGGGUUGUUCUGUAUGCCCAUAGCACACCUGACAGCUCGUCAACCCAAGCGCCCUUUUUUGCUCCGAGCCUGGUUUUCAGAAGCCUCUUGAUGGUCUUGUUGGCUGCUUCUACUUGUCCAUUCGAUUGAGAGUGAGCAGGCGAGCAAUACUUCAGCUCUAUCCCGAGGUUCUGGCAGAAAUCCCUGAAGCUGUGAUUAUCGAACUGCCUGCCAUUAUCCGUUACCAAGGCAUAAGGGAUCCCGUAUCGACAGACCAGGUUUCUCCACACGAAGUCUGUUGUUUUCUUCUCUGUGAUCCUGCUAAGGGCUUCCACCUCUAUCCACUUCGUGAAGUAAUCUAUAGCAACUAUUGCAGGUGUUGCUGCUCCUCGUCCUUUUGGCAAUGGGCCGAUCAGAUCAAUUCCCCAUUGAGCAAAUGGCCAAGGGGAGGCCAUGGAGGUGAGCUUCUCUGGUGGUUGGUUGGAGAAAUUUGCAAAACUCUGGCAGCUUGCACAACCCCUGGUCUUCUUUUGCGCAUCCUGGUGCAUUGUCGGCCAAAAAUAUCCCUGCCUUAGAACCUUGUGGGCCAGGGACCUCCCGCCAGAAUGAUUUCCGCAAAUUCCUUCAUGUACUUCUCUCAGUACGUAAUCCGCGUCGUCCUCAUCCAAACACCGAAGGAACGGUAGUGUAUAUCCUCGCCAAUACAGUACCCCAUCGAUCAUCGUGUAUCUCGAGGCCUGGGCUCUAAUCUUCCGAGCUCGCAGCUUAUCUGGUGGUAAUACCCCGUCUCUAAGGUAUGAAACUAUCGGGUCCCUCCACGAGCAUUUUUGUUCUAUCCGUAACACCCCCAAAUUCUGCUCGAUACUUGGGCUGGACUUCACCUCCAGAGGGACCGACUUUGGCAUUUUUGGGUCGGCUACUGCUGCCAUCCUUGCCAAAAUGUCUGCUCGACUAUUCUGCUCCCUGGGGAUUUGUAUCACCUCCACUGCCUCGAACUUCCCCAUCAUCUGCCUGACUAUUUUUAGGUACUGUUCCAUCUUCUCCUCUGUUGGUUGGAAUCUUUCACUGACAUGAUUCGCAACCAGCUGGGAAUCGGUUCUGAUCUUAACUCUGUCUGCUUUCACGGCCUUAGCCAAUUCCAGACCUGCUAUCAAGGCUUCAUACUCUGCCUGGUUAUUUGUGGCUGCAAAUUCCAACUUUACAGCAUAAGAGAUCUCCUCCCCAUCUGGGCCUUCCAGGACAAUCCCUGCUCCUGAACCCCGCUCCCCUGAUGACCCAUCCACAGACAUCUGCCAUAUUUGAGUUUCGUCAUUGCCUAUAGCUGUAUCUUGUUGAUCUAAGCAUACUUCGGGCUCUGUGAAUUCAGCUACGAAAUCGGCCAUUGCCUGGGCCUUUAUCGCCGCGCGGGGUUUAUAGUCUAUGUCGAACUCGCUCAGCUCCACAGCCCACUUGACGAGCCGACCAGAGGCAUCUGGCUUGUGCAGAGUUUGACGCAAUGGCUGGUUUGUUAUUACCGAGAUCGGGAAGGCUUGGAAAUAUGGCCUCAACUUCCGAGCAGCAACCACAAGGGCAAGUGCCCAUUUCUCCAACGGUGGGUAUCUGGCCUCAGCGUCGAGCAGGGCCUUGCUGGUGUAGUAUAUCGGAUACUGAACUCCUUCUUCCUCUCUCACCAGAACAGAACUGGCGGCCCGAUCCGAUACCGCCAAAUACAGAUACAACUUGUCCCCAUCCCUCGGUGUGGACAGCAGCGGAGCUUGCUGUAAGUAUUGCUUCAAGUUUCGGAAGGCUUCCUCGCAUUCUGGGGUCCAUUCUGUUUUCUUUCCCCUCCUUAUCACUUGAAAGAAUGGCUGACACUUAUCUGUAGCCUUGGAUAUGAAUCUGCUCAACGCCGCCAACCUCCCCGUGAGGCUCUGCAUCUCCUUCAGGUUACGAGGAGACGUCAUUUGCACAAUCGCCUGGAUUUUCUCGGGAUUUGCUUUAAUCCCCCUAUGGCUCACCAUGAAUCCCAGGAAUUUCCCUGACUCGACCCCAAAAGCACACUUCUCCGGGUUGAGCUUCAUCUUAUACUUCCUCAAAAGCUCGAAUGUCUCCUCGAGGUGUCUGACGUGUUCCUUCGGGAUUUUGGACUUGGUAAUCAUGUCAUCCACGUACACCUCCAUGGUUUUCCCGAUCAACGGCUUAAAGACUCUGUUCACCAGCCUUUGAUAGGUGGCCCCAGCAUUCUUGAGACCGAAUGGCAUCACCCUGUAACAGAACAAACCUUGGUUAGUGAUGAAAGCCGUGCUCUCCUCAUCCUGCUCGUACAUGGGGAUCUGGUUGUAUCCCGAGAAUGCGUCCAUGAAGCUAAGCAGACCAUGUCCAGCCGUUGAAUCUACUAGCUGAUCGAUCCUUGGUAAAGGGAAGCUGUCUUUUGGGCACGCCUUGUUGAGGUCUGUGAAAUCCACACACAUCCUCCACUUGCCGUUUGCCUUCUUUACCAGCACCACAUUUGAUAUCCAUUCUGGGUAACUGACUUCCCGAAUGAACCCUGCUCUCAAGAGCUUCUCCACCUCGUCAUUUACAGCCUCAUACCUCUCCUGGUUGGUGUUGAGUGUUAGAAAAUGCAUAUUUAUAAAGGAGAAAACCGUCAUUUUACAUUUCAAGUCUUACUAACAACCCUUACUUUUAUGUAUUUAACCUUCUUGUGAUGUAAUUACGUGUGUGUUAUUUUAAUUAAGUAUUUUAUGUAUUUUAGGGGCAGUAUAGCCAUUUCACAAUAAAGGAGAGAUCAGACGGCAAAACGGACAUCACUUUUGAACUCAGGACGGUCGAAAACCUUAGGAGGAGCAUAAAAGGAAAAAUGGCACUAUUCACAUGUACGGUACUAUUCACGUAUACGGUACUGUCUACGUUACUGUUCACGACACUGUUCACAUAGACGGAUCGAUGACGUGGCAUUGACCGAUGAUGUGGCAUUGACUGAUGAGGUGUCACGAUCCUGUUGGGCUAAAAUUCUUAUGUACUGUUGAUGGUGACGUGGCAGCAUAUCAGUGGACGAAAAAUCUCGUGUACGGUGCAUGCAUCACACAGGAUUAUUUUCAACCAAACCGCGUUACUGUUCAUCCGGGUCAAACCGCGUUACUGUUCAAAGUCGAGUCAAACCGUGUUACUGUUCAUCCGCGUGGUCAAACCGUGGACUGUUGACUGAUGACGUGGCGCAAUCCUGAGCGUCCAAACUAUUUUUAAUCCGAUGGCCAUGAUUUACUCCAUGUAUCUAUAAAAAGGGGGCCUCCCCCCCCUAAUUUGAUAUCUCUGAAUCCAUUUUUGGGAUCCAUUUUCUGUAAUUCCCUCUCCAUCUUGUAUUUUCUUCGUAUUUUAAUAAAUUUCGAUUUUGCCCCUAGUUCAAUUAUGAGUGGCUAAUUUUCUUUCAAGCUUGGGUUGAAGGUGAAGUCUCAACAUGUGUCAUGGGCUUUAUUUGGUAAAUUUAUUUUCUCUUCCCCUCUAGUUUUUGUGGAUGUUUUGACUUUUCGUCGACAAAUAAUACUAAUCUUGUCUAGUACCGCCUUGGUUUCACCGGCCCUCUGGUACAAGGUUAUUAUUAUUUGGCACGAUAAGCCCUUAGCACCAUAUUGAUUAGAGCGUGGUUCAUGAGGUGUGGAUUCCCCCCUCAUGAUUUAAUUGGCAUUAAUAAGGAAUAUUUAGCCCAUGAUGCAUGUUGAUGCGGAUCCGAAUACCCAAGUACGUCAUUUCAAUAGAAUUAUCUUCAAUCUAUUCUCGCAAUUGCAAUUCCAAUUUUAGAAUUUAUUCUCGCCAUUUUAAUUUAAGUCUUAGCAUAUUCCAAAUCAUUUCCACUAUAAAUCCAACAACCCAUUUACAAAAUUAAUUCUAUACACAUAAUUAAAAUCCACCUCCUCGUGGGAUCGACACUCGUCACCAUUAGUUUAUACUACAAUAGAUUCGUGCGCUUGCGAGUACAUUAAAAUUUGCACAACAAGUUUUUGGCGCCGUUGCCGGGGAGGUAAGUAAUUUUAAUUCAUAGAAUUAAUUUUUUUUGAAUAAUUUCUUUUAUUUUUUUUCUUGUAUUUUUUUUUUAAAUUAAAAAAAAGAAAAAAAAAAGUGAAUCUACAUUUAAAGGUUAGUAUUUCUUUUCUUUUUCUCUUCUUUAAAAUUCUGUAAUUUAAUUUUCCAUUUAUUUUUCUUUGUAAUUUUUUUUGUUUAUCUUAUUAAUUUAAUUUUUAGUUAAUUUAUUUCACGUAUUUAUUUUUGUGUAUUUUUAUAGAAAGGUUUUAAUAGCGCAAUAAGGUUAGUAUCGUAAUUUCUCCAUCUUCUUUAUUUUUAUUUGUUUUGUUCUCAUCUUUAUUUUUAUUUUAUUUGUUUUUGCAUGCAUGGUCGUAGGUCAUUAUUAUCUAAUCUUGAACCUAUAGACCUUGAAUUAGAAAAAACACUUCGCACACACAAACAAAUUAAAAAUAAAAUGGAUUUGCAACCACAGGAGAGGCCAUUUAAGGACUACUUCAGUCCUUUAGCUAAUUUGAGCACAUCAUGCAUAAGAUACCCAAAUGUAGCUGCUAGGAGUUUUGAAUUAAAACCUAGUGUGCUAAAUUGUCUCCCCACAUUCUAUGGCCUAGAAAAUGAGGACCCAUAUAAUCAUUUGAAUGAUUUUCAUGCCAUUUGUCAAACAUUUAAAUAUGAGAAUUUUUCAGAUGAUGAUGUUAAACUUAGAUUAUUCCCAUUUUCUUUAAAAGAUAGAGCUCGUUCAUGGUUAAAUACUUUACCUGCUAAUAGCAUUUCAUCAUGGGAACAAAUGGUAACGAAAUUUUUGAAUAAAUAUUUCCCAGUGCAUAAAACCAAUGCUAUUCGCAGGGAAAUCUCAGAGUUUACCCAGAGAGAGGACGAGCAAUUUUUCGAAACAUGGGAGCGAUUCAAUGGGCUACUCUUGAAGUGUCCACAUCAUGGGUACGAGAAAUGGCACCAAUGCCAAUACUUUUUGGAGGGAUUACUACCAAAUGUGCAAGAAUGGCUAAUGGCAACAAGUGGAGGAGAGCUAAUGUCAAAAAGUGCAUCAGAAAUUUGGGAAUUCUUCCAGCGACAAGCGGAUAAUUCCCAACAACGGAGUCGAUCACUCAGGAAUACUAGAAGAAUUAAAGGAGUAAAUGAGGUUCAAAUUGGCGAGUCAACUUCGGGAAUCAAAGAAGUCAAGGAGAUGGUUGAAGGUCUUGCUCGACAAAUAGCAUCGUUAUCGACUGCUAAAUCAACAGAACCACAUGACCAUGACUCAUACUCAGAUCAAGCCAAUACCAUAGGUGUAAUGAGAAAGCCAUCAAAUUACAACCCAUACUCCAACACAUAUAACCCUGGAUGGAGAGACCACCCCAAUUUUUCAUGGUCUCAAGGAUUCCAACAGAAUGGACCAGCAGCUCCAGCUCCACCAAUGCAACAAAUUCCUCAAGUUCCUCAAGCCUCUCAGCCACCAUUUAGACCAUACAAUCAGAAUCAGAAUUUCUCUCAACCCAGACCAUGGGAGGAUUCAUUCCAGAAUCUCAAGAAUCUUACUCACUCCACGAUUGAGCAACAAAACCGCACCAUUGAUGGACUACGAAAUGAGUUGAGAGCAGGUUUCAACUCACAAGCUCAAUCAGUUUCAAGCCUCGAGAAGAUGGUGGGACAACUUGCUUCUUCAGUUCAGACCUUGGCAAUGACUGUUGAGAAAGGCAAAUUUCCAAGUCAACCAGUGCCUAACCCUAAAGGAGUGCAUGAAGCAAGUACCAGUUCACCACAGCAGCAUGGAGAAGUCAAAGCAGUAAUGACCUUGCGAAAAGGAAAGGAAGUCGACAACAAAGUGGAGAUGCCAGUGACAAAAGAAAAUCAAAUUGUACCUGUGAAUGUUGAUGACUCAUCACCGGAGGAGAAAGAAAAAACCAACCCACAAGAAUAUGUUCCCAAGGCUCCAUUUCCUCAGAGGUUAGCUAAAGGAAAAAAGGGAAAAUCCACAGGUGAGAUUCUUGAAAUCUUCAAACAGGUAAGUGUUAACAUCCCUUUACUUGAUGCUAUUAAGCAAGUUCCAUCUUAUGCUAAGUUUCUUAAAGACCUUUGUACUAAAAAGAGAAACAUGCAUGUUCAAAAGAAAGCAUUUUUAACAGAAAACGUUAGUUCUAUCCUCCAACAUAAAAUUCCUCUAAAAUGCAAAGACCCAGGCUCCCCCACUAUCUCAUGUAGCAUAGGGAACCACACAAUUGAGAAUGCUUUGUUGGAUUUAGGAGCUAGUGUAAAUCUGUUACCUUAUUCAGUGUUUGUGAAACUUGGACUUGGAGAAUUACACCCAACUCCAGUGGUGUUACAGCUUGCAGAUCGGUCCACGAAAAUACCUCGUGGUAUUGUGGAGGACGUGCUUAUCCAGGUAGACAAGUUUUAUUUUCCUGUUGAUUUCAUUGUAAUUGACACUCAACCAAUACAGGAUUCAAGGAAGCACAUCCCCAUUAUUCUAGGCCGACCUUUCUUGGCAACUGCGGAUGCUCACAUUCAAUGCAGGACUGGAAAUAUGCAGUUGUCCUUCGGCAACAUGACUAUGGAACUGAACAUCUUCAACAUUGCCAAACAACCUCACAGUGCAGAUGAUGGAAUUGUUGAUGUGGAUUUAAUAGAAACAAUAGUUGAUAAUACUUUUCUUUCAAACCUUAGUGAUCCUUUACAAACAUGUUUAACUCACUUUGGUUUGGAUUUUGAUAUUGACAGAUCGGUCGAUGAGGUCAAUGCCCUGCUUGACUCAGCACCAUCUAUGGACACUAAUAAAUGGAAGUCAAGAGUUGAGCAACUAGCACCAUCAGAGAAGCAACUCAUUCCAUCAUCAGAAUCACCACCGAAACUCGAGCUCAAACCAUUGCCCAACACUUUGGAAUAUGCGUUUUUGGGAGAAGAAAGCACUCUGCCGGUAAUCAUCUCAUCAUCCCUCAAUGACGAACAAAAAGGUAAGUUGUUAGAUGUUUUGAAAGAGCACAAAGGGGCAUUAGGAUGGACCAUAGCAGACAUAAAAGGUAUAAACCCAGUAGACUGCAUGCAUUACAUUCACCUUGAUGAAAAUGCUAAAACUACUAGGGAAAUGCAACGUCGGUUAAAUCCUAAUAUGAAAGAAGUUGUUAGAAUUGAAGUCCUUAAGCUAUUAGAUGCAGGUAUCAUUUACCCAAUUUCUGAUAGUUCAUGGGUCAGUCCUGUACAAGUCGUCCCCAAAAAGUCAGGAGUCACAGUAGUUACCAAUGCUGAUAAUGAAUUGAUACCAACUAGGGUAACUACAGGAUGGCGUGUAUGCAUUGAUUAUAGAAAAUUGAAUUCUGUCACACGUAAAGACCAUUUUCCUUUACCAUUUAUUGAUCAAAUGCUUGAUAGAUUAGCAGGCCAUGAAUUUUAUUGCUUUCUAGAUGGCUACUCAGGAUAUAAUCAGAUUCCCAUAGCACCAAAAGAUCAGGAGAAAACUACUUUCACUUGCCCUUUUGGCACAUUUGCAUAUAGGAGAAUGCCAUUUGGAUUAUGUAAUGCACCUGCUACAUUUCAACGAUGCAUGUUGAGCAUUUUUUCUGAUAUGGUUGAACGAUUCCUUGAAGUCUUUAUGGAUGACUUUUCUGUCUUUGAUGACUCGUUUGAUCAAUGUUUACAUCAUCUAACACUAGUUCUGCAGAGAUGUAUCGAGAAGAACUUGGUCUUAAAUUGGGAGAAAUGCCAUUUUAUGAUAAAACAAGGUAUUGUUCUCGGUCACAUCAUUUCGAGCAAAGGUAUUGAGGUUGACAAAGCCAAGGUGGAUCUCAUUUCUAAUCUUCCUCCACCUAAAACAGUCAGAGAAGUAAGAUCUUUCCUUGGGCAUGCUGGUUUCUAUAGACGUUUCAUCAAAGAUUUUAGCAAAGUUUCUAGACCCUUAUGCAAUUUACUUGCUAAGGAUGUACCUUUUAUCUUUAAUGAUUCAUGUCUUAUGGCGUUUGAAAAAUUAAAACGGUUGUUGACAUCAUCACCCAUCAUUCAGGCCCCAAACUGGAGCUUACCAUUUGAGCUAAUGUGUGAUGCAUCUGAUUAUGCAGUAGGAGCAGUAUUAGGACAAAGAGUUGAUCGAAUUCCCCAUGUUAUUUAUUAUGCUAGUAUGACAUUGAAUGAUGCACAGUUGAACUAUUCAACUACUGAAAAAGAAAUGCUAGCAGUAGUGUUUGCAUUGGAAAAAUUUCGAUCAUAUCUCAUUGGUUGUAAAAUAAUUAUAUUCACAGAUCAUGCUGCUCUUAAAUAUCUUCUCACAAAGAAAGAUGCAAAAGCCAGACUAAUUCGUUGGGUGUUACUUUUGCAGGAAUUUGACUUGGAAUUCAAAGAUAAAAAAGGGACAGAAAAUGUUGUGGCGGACCACCUCUCUCGUCUCCAUUUUGACACAAUUAUAGAACAAUUACCAUUAAAUGAGUCAUUUCCAGAUGAACAAUUAAUGAGUGUGGAAGUAUUACCUUGGUAUGCUGAUAUAGUUAAUUAUCUUGUUACAGGUAAACUUCCAGAGCAUUGGACCAAGCAAGACAAGGCUAAAUUCUUUGCAGAGAUAAAGAAUUUCUUUUGGGAUGACCCGUAUUUGUUCAAGUAUUGUGCGGAUCAAAUUGUUAGACGAUGUGUCCCAGAAAGUGAAAUUCAGAAUAUCCUUUCAUUCUGCCAUGAACAAGCUUGUGGAGGCCAUUUCAGUGCUAAGAAGACAGCGACUAAAGUUUUACAAUGUGGUUUCUAUUGGCCAUCUAUAUUUCGAGAUGCUUACACUUUCUGUUCUUCAUGUGAUAGGUGUCAACGAAUGGGAAGCAUUACACGAAGGAACAUGAUGCCACUAAAUCCAAUUUUAGUGGUUGAGAUUUUUGACGUAUGGGGUAUCGACUUCAUGGGACCCUUUCCCCCUUCUUUUGGCCAUCAAUACAUAUUGGUUGCUGUUGACUACGUAUCAAAAUGGGUAGAAGCAAUUCCAUGUAGGACCAAUGAUCACAAGGUGGUAAUAGCAUUUUUAAAAAGCAACAUUGUUUCACGCUUUGGAUUCCCCCGAGCGAUAAUCAGUGAUGGUGGUGCCCACUUUUGUAACAAAGCAUUCAAAGCACUUUUGACAAAGUAUUCAAUCACACACAAAGUGGCGACCCCGUAUCAUCCGCAAACCAGUGGCCAAGUUGAGAUAUCCAAUCGAGAAAUAAAGCACAUAUUAGAAAAGACGGUGAGGCCGGACAGAAAAGAUUGGUCAUUAAGACUUGAUGAUGCAUUAUGGGCAUAUAGAACGGCUUUCAAGACCCCGAUUGGGAUGUCACCCUACAGGCUAGUGUAUGGAAAAGCUUGCCACCUACCUGUGGAACUCGAGCAUCGUGCAUAUUGGGCCAUCAAGAAAUUCAAUUUUGACAUGCAGCAAGCCAGCUCAGAAAGAAGAUUACAGCUGGCAGAACUUGAAGAAAUUCGCAAUGACGCGUACGAAAAUGCCAAGAUUUACAAGCAACGAAUGAAAGUCUUCCAUGAUAAGCAAAUUAUGAGAAAAUCGUUCACUCCAGGUCAGAGAGUGCUUUUAUUCAAUUCUCGCUUGCACCUAUUCCCAGGUAAGUUACGCUCUCGUUGGUCUGGCCCAUUUAUUGUUCAUACUGUUUUUCCACAUGGGGCAAUUGAAAUUAAAGACCCAAAGAAUGGUGUCACGUUUAAAGUUAAUGGUCAAAGAUUAAAGCCAUAUCUAGAGUACCAACCACAUGAAGAAGACACCGAAAUAAAUUUGAGUGACCCACCAAAUUUGAAUUGAUUUUUUUUUCUUUUCGUUGAUUUGAUUUUUCUUUCUUUCUUUUUAUUAUUAUUCUUUUGCUAAUUGAAAUUGUUUUUGCAUAAGUGUGUUUAUUUUACCAUUAAGUUUUCUCUUAUCAUUUUUAAUCAUGAGUCUCAUACUUAGACCGUUCCUCCUGAACAUUCUUAAACCACUUCAACGUGUCAAAACUCAUCUCAAAAGACAGAUUCAAUUUUGUAAAACACAUCGCAUUUGGGCUCUACAACCACCAGAGUUAGUAGCCUAUGUUGAGGGUUUAGAACGCCAACUCAGUGACAUUGAGAGAAGUGUUUACGACAUCCAGUUGGAGCUUGAGGUAAAUUCAAUAAGAGGACGAUUUUAAUUUUCUUUGUGUGUUUUAAUUUUUUUUUCUAUUGGUGUGCUUUAGUUUGUUACCCCGGUGAAGUGGCGGAUAACGGUACUCCGUGACAAUCAAGUCGGUUACUUCAGUUUCCCAUAAUAACUGAUAUUCUGAGGCGAAGGUAUGGACAGAAACGAGAUUCUAGCGAAGCUUCACAAGCGAUUCCCUUCACUUCCUCAGAAUGCCCUCCUUACGAUCUAUAAAGCUCGGUCCGAACGCAUGCGAUUACUCAUGAGGAAUAACAUACCUGCUGACAUCCGUUGGUUAAUCGAGGCUAAAGUACGAUCGGCAGGUGAGUUACCUCCAAAAUUUAUUGCAUACAUGCCUGGUUGUGGUAAAGGAAAUUAUGCAAGAAAACGACGAGCUCGAAGAAUUUCUGUUGCUUGUCAUAAGUGUGCCAGAAUGAGUUGCAAUAAAAACCCAUGUUCUUUAAGAAUGGUGUCUGAUAACAGGGAAGAUAAGAUUCAAUUCAUUAGGGAUGGCUUGAAUAAGGAGUCAUUGGAUGAUAUCCUUUUGUCUCUUGAAACGCAUCCCAGUGGAUAUGUGCAAGGAGCGAUUCUCCAGUUAUGGCCAUUAUUCCAGAAAGAGCAUGCACGAUAUAGUCUCGGGAAUCUGACUAUAAACGACCCUGUUUGCCAGUUUAUAAGAAAACUGGAUAGGAAGCCUAUCCUCGACCCAUAGAGGGCGUUCAAGCCGUUUCUGGACGUAGAACCAGAGGAAGAUGUGAGCCACAGUCGCAACUACCUGUAAAUAUCCUUUUACUUUAUUGUUAUUUUAUUUCACUAUUGUCUUAUUGUUUGCAUUAUUGUCUUUAAUAAUUUUAUUACUGUUUGCUUUUUCCUUUUUACUGUUUUCUUUUUGACUUGCGAGCCACGUGCUUUACGCGUUAUUUGACACUGACAUAUUACCUCAUACAUAACUGUGAUCCACUGUCACCAAGAUUCUUAAAUGUGAUUUCCUUUUUGUCAAGCACUCACAAAUUGUUUUCGAGAAGUAUCACAAUGGCAGCUACUCCCAAUAGACAAUUCAAGAACAUUUGUGUGCUUUCUAGAUUUACCUAUGGCAAACAUAAAGAGUUCGUUGAGGCAGCUAUAGAUCUUGGUCGAAGCAUAGCAGCGAGAAAAUUACAUUUGGUGUAUGGAGGAGGUAACCGAGGGUUAUCAAAAAUGGUCUCAGAAGCAGCUUUUAUCAGAGGAAGUCAAGUGUUAGGCAUCAUCCCAAGAGUCCUAAAACCAUUGGGCAGUUCGUCUGACUCAUCAACUGGAGAAGAGUUAGUCGUCUCAGGUAUGCAAGAAAGAAUAACUGAAAUGCUUAAUCAUGCUGAUGCUUUUAUUUUCCUUCCAGGAGAUCUUGCAACACUAGAGGCACUUAUGACACUAGCAUCUUGGGCCCAUCUACACAUUCACCAGAAACCCAUCGGUUUGUUAAAUGUCAAUAACUUUUAUGAUGGCUUUAUCGCAUUUCUUAACCAUGCAAUAAAAAACUAUUUCAUUCCUUCUAAUGUGAAAAAACUCUUUAUUUGUGCUCACACUGCUAAUGAGCUACUUGAUAUGUUACAAGCUUAUAAACCGGAGCCAGACCCCUGGACCUUUGUGUUGGAGCGACCAACUAAUGAUGGUAACAGUAGCCGCAGUAAGAAGUACAAAUUAGAUUUAACUCUCCACCUGUAAAUAUUUUCUUCUGUGUUGCACCACCCAGGUGAUGUCUUCUAAACUCUACUUAUUUCCUUUCAAACAUUGAGGACAAUGUUUCGUUCUGGUUGGGGGGAGGGAAUAGUCGACAAUUAUGGAAUCUUGGUUAAGUUUUUACUAAUUUUUUGUUGUAGAAACUAACUGUUGCUAACUUUUUGUGUUGAAGAUGGCUGAAUAUGGAGUGUAGUUACUCUAGAAACGCAUCUUCAUUGUUCGAAAAAAAAAUAAUAAAAAUUCUUUUUCUUUAUUAAGUUUUGAUGUUCAUUUUUCUUCUUCUUUUUAUUUUCUCCUCUAUAAAUAUACAUUUUCCAACUUUUGAGUCGAAGAUGGCUGAAUAUGGAGUGUAGUGCCUCUAGAAACGCAUCUUUAAAAAAAAAAAAACCAUUUUCUUUUCCUAUCAUUUUAAGUGUAACUUUUCUAAUUAGUUUUUCUACAUCAUUUUCGCAUUUCUGCAUGCAUAUUUUUCCUUUCAUGCUUAGAAUAGGUUGGGGGGUAGAAUGUUGUUAAAAAAAAAAAUUUUUUGUUAUUUGUUUUAACAUUGGAUGACAUGAUUAAUUUCAAAUUUUAGUAUUUGUAUUAUCUUUGGUCUUAAGUGAUGUUACGCUAUGUUUGCUACUUUACAUGUUGAUGUCGGAGACAAAUAUGAGUUGCUUGAAGGAAUGAACAUGUCAUAAAUAAGUGCCAAGUGAGUUGUUGAGCCUAUCAUUUUCUUGGAGAGUAACCCUUUUGCCCAUUCUCUAUACAGCUUAACAGUUUAUUAUUUUAUACACGAUCUCUAGAUUUCUUUUGAGUUAACCCUUUAAAAAAAAUGGUAAAAUUAAAAAAAAAGAAAAAAGAAAAAAAUGUGUGUUACUACAUUGGGAGGCCCAUCUAACUAGUAGAUAUGGAUAAUUAUUUAGAGCCCUAAAAGACGAUGGAAAGGCCAUCUUUGAUCCGUUUGAGCCUUUCUAGCCAUCCCUGUUAUUAAAUAUCCAUAGUUACCCCUUUUGAGCCUUUAAAAAAAAAAAAAAAAAACCUUUUCUUUGUCAACUUAUCAUCUUGACCCACUCCGAUUUGGAGUAUUACCCAAUGUCUUUUAAGUUCCAUCCCUAUUUAUGUUUGAGAAAAUGUAAAUAAUUAUGUUGUUCAGUGAAGUUAUGCCAAAUAAAAGCAAAAAAACAAAAACAAAAAACAAAACAAAACAAAAGUUGUUGUUUCAAAAGAAUAAAAAUAACAAUAAUAGGUGAAAUCCACCUUGCAACUUCCAAAAAAAAAAAAAAAUCUGCAUUUUUCUCAAACAUACACUUUGUUUUCCUUAUUUCCUUUCUUUAUUAGCCAUAUCCCUAGCCUACGUUACGUCCUAAUAAAAGUCCUUCUUGAUUUUAGGGAACUAUAGUUUGAAGUAGAAGCUAGUUAUAUGGGCUAAAAAGAUGUAGUGAUGCAUAAAAAAAAAAAAAGAUAAAUAAAGUGGGUUGACUAACAUUUUAUUUGACUUGAGAUCGUAUUAUUUCUAAGCUGAGGGCAUAUUUAUUUCAUCUUGGUGAGAGCAUGUGAUAUCAUUUCUUUAUUAUUUUCUCUCUCAAUUACCAUUCAUUGGAGUGACUAUGUUUAUUGGGUUUUAAUUUCUUUGUGAGAGUGUCACCACUUCCAGUGAGAUUUUGGGGUUUGACAUGUCAUUCUUGAAAGUAGAUAUAACAAAGUCUACUGGGCUGAUUCAUGUGGAUGGUUAAUAUGGGUGUGAUAUUUCUUUAGACUGGAGAUAAUGCUUAUACUUUUAUUUGAUUGCUAUCAUUAAUCUGAUUGAAUAAAUAUGAGUGUUUCAAAAAAAAAAAAAAAAAAAAAGAAAAAGAAAAAUCAUUUUGAAUUUGAAUUUUGUUUUCGCUUUAUUUGCUAGGGACUAGCAAUAAGCUGGUUGGGGGGUGUGUUGAGUGUUAGAAAAUGCAUAUUUAUAAAGGAGAAAACCGUCAUUUUACAUUUCAAGUCUUACUAACAACCCUUACUUUUAUGUAUUUAACCUUCUUGUGAUGUAAUUACGUGUGUGUUAUUUUAAAUAAGUAUUUUAUGUAUUUUAGGGGCAGUAUAGCCAUUUCACAAUAAAGGAGAGAUCAGACGGCAAAACGGACAUCACUUUUGAACUCAGGACGGUCGAAAACCUUAGGAGGAGCAUAAAAGGAAAAAUGGCACUAUUCACAUGUACGGUACUAUUCACGUAUACGGUACUGUCUACGUUACUGUUCACGACACUGUUCACAUAGACGGAUCGAUGACGUGGCAUUGACCGAUGAUGUGGCAUUGACUGAUGAGGUGUCACGAUCCUGUUGGGCUAAAAUUCUUAUGUACUGUUGAUGGUGACGUGGCAGCAUAUCAGUGGACGAAAAAUCUCGUGUACGGUGCAUGCAUCACACAGGAUUAUUUUCAACCAAACCGUGUUACUGUUCAUCCGGGUCAAACCGCGUUACUGUUCAAAGUCGAGUCAAACCGUGUUACUGUUCAUCCGCGUGGUCAAACCGUGGACUGUUGACUGAUGACGUGGCGCAAUCCUGAGCGUCCAAACUAUUUUUAAUCCGAUGGCCAUGAUUUACUCCAUGUAUCUAUAAAAAGGGGGCCUCCCCCCCCUAAUUUGAUAUCUCUGAAUCCAUUUUUGGGAUCCAUUUUCUGUAAUUCCCUCUCCAUCUUGUAUUUUCUUCGUAUUUUAAUAAAUUUCGAUUUUGCCCCUAGUUCAAUUAUGAGUGGCUAAUUUUCUUUCAAGCUUGGGUUGAAGGUGAAGUCUCAACAUGUGUCAUGGGCUUUAUUUGGUAAAUUUAUUUUCUCUUCCCCUCUAGUUUUUGUGGAUGUUUUGACUUUUCGUCGACAAAUAAUACUAAUCUUGUCUAGUACCGCCUUGGUUUCACCGGCCCUCUGGUACAAGGUUAUUAUUAUUUGGCACGAUAAGCCCUUAGCACCAUAUUGAUUAGAGCGUGGUUCAUGAGGUGUGGAUUCCCCCCUCAUGAUUUAAUUGGCAUUAAUAAGGAAUAUUUAGCCCAUGAUGCAUGUUGAUGCGGAUCCGAAUACCCAAGUACGUCAUUUCAAUAGAAUUAUCUUCAAUCUAUUCUCGCAAUUGCAAUUCCAAUUUUAGAAUUUAUUCUCGCCAUUUUAAUUUAAGUCUUAGCAUAUUCCAAAUCAUUUCCAUUAUAAAUCCAACAACCCAUUUACAAAAUUAAUUCUAUACACAUAAUUAAAAUCCACCUCCUCGUGGGAUCGACACUCGUCACCAUUAGUUUAUACUACAAUAGAUUCGUGCGCUUGCGAGUACAUUAAAAUUUGCACAACAAUUGGAGCACCUCCUCUUCUGCCUUACUGCCCGAGCACCUUUCUUUAUUGCCAGCUUAUGACACGCUACCUCAGGGUCAAUCCCCGGCAUGUCUUCAUGUGUCCAGGCAAACACAUCAGCAUGAGCCUGUAAGCAUUUCACCAACUCCUGCUUUUGCUCUCUCUUAAGUCUCGACCCGAUUCUGAUCGUCUUUCCCGGGUUCUCUGGUCCCAUGCUCACUGUUUCCAGAUCCUCUACAGGUUCUUGUCUGCCAGUCUUGUUUUCCACUCGGGUAUCGAGGGAUGUUAUCUGCAUUGCCUCCCUUGCUGCCGAAGAGUAGCAGCUUCUUGCGAUCCUCUGGUCUCCUCGUACCACUCCUACUACCCCAUUCACCCGGUACUUCAGAGCCAGAUAAUGGUUGGACAACACCGCUUUGCUCAUCCUUAAAAAUGGCCGACCUAGGAUCAUCUGGUAAGGACCUUCCUCAUCCACUACGACAAAGUCCAGUAUCACUGUUCUUUCUGUCGGGGGGCUCCCAAUUGUGAUGGGCAGUUCGACCACGCCCAGAGGAACCAGCUUCCCUCCUCCGAACCCCUUCAAGGAGGUGUUGGUGUAUUCCAACUUUCGGUCGGCUAUUCCCAUCUCUUCCAGGGUUGACUUAAAUAACACAUCAACUGAGCUCCCUGUAUCAACCAGUAUCCGGUCAAACUUCUUGCUAGCGACCGUAGCCCUGAUGACUAAGGCAUCCUCGUGGGGGUAUAGAAUCCCUUCCUCAUUCUCAUCCGUCCACAUGAUUGGCACUUGCCUGACCCUUGCUCGUUUGGCUGCUGGGGUGUUGAGGAGUACCUCUUUACUGGUCAUGGCGUACCUAGCAUAAUUUUUUCUCGAUCUGUUUGAAUCUCCGGCCAACGUUGGGCCCCCAGCUAUCACCCUUACUGCGGGCUGCUCGCGCCUCAAGAUUCUAUCACUCUGCUCCCCUUCAUCUGUCGUGGCCACCAUCGGAAAAGUCCCAUUCAUAAACUCGUCCAGGUACCGAUUUCUCACCAAAUCUUCGACCUGGGUCUUGAGAUCUCUACACUCUGUUGUGGUAUGGCCAUGGGUGCCAUGGAACUUACAAUAACGUCCUCUAUCCCUCCUGUUGGGUAGCUUUGUUAUUGGUGUAGGGAGGUGCAGCAGCCCUCGAUCCUUUAUGGCCUCGUAUACCUCAUUCAGGGACAUCUUCAAGGGAGUGUACCGCCCAUAGUCCUGGUUCUGGUCGAUCAGAUGCACUGCUCUUUCUCUGUUUGCCCCGCUCUGAGUUGGGGGCGGUGGAAGUACUUCUGGUCUGCUCGUCCUGCCACCGUGGGAAUGUUGAUGAAGACCACCAGAUGCCGGAUCAUUUCUUGUCCAAGGUUCCCUAGCUGGGGAACGAGGAGGUUGCGCCCUGCUACGCUGAUACUGUGGUGGCCUCUGAUGAGGCUGGUAAGCGGUGACCCUACCUCCUGCUCCACUACCGGAGGCCUGGUGGUCCCUCCUACUGAUCGGCCCAUUCCCUGGUAAUGCUUUCUUCUCUUUCCUCCCCAACCCUUCUAACUGGUCUGUCUUGAUCCGUGCAGCCUUCUCCUCUUCAAUCUCGAUGUCUCUUUUAGCCUGCUCGUAUGCGGCCGCAUACGUUUGAAUAGCUGGGCUUCUCAAAUUGUACCACAACCUUCCUAUCUUCACCCCUUCUUUCAAUCCCCUUAACGCCUGAGGGUGGUUGAAGGCUCCCAAGUCGAGGACAGCCCGAUGAAACCUCUUGAUGAAUUCCCGAAGGGUUUCUUGCUCCCCCUGUUUCAUGCUUUUCAGCUCCAUCAUGUCAUCUUCCGGUGACAUUGCCCCACUGAACUGCUCUGCGAAUUCCUGGCACAUCUGCUCGAAGGUUUUAAUGCUGCCCCGAGGAAGUUUCCUGUACCAUUCUCGUGCACGUCCCUCGAGGGAUAGUGGGAACACCCUGCACCUUUGGGAUUGAGAUAGUCCUUGUACCCCAGUUAUGUCGUUGAAGCGCUCUAUGUGCAUCAGCGGAUCAGUUCUUCCCGAGUAUCUGAGGUCGGGGAGGCGGAAAUCUCUCGGAAUAACUGCCCUCAUGAUCUCCGCUGCGAGCGGCGAUUCUCCGUCCAGCAUUAUCCUCCAACCAGGGGCUCUGUUCCUCCCCUGUAUGUCGUCAAUUAUCUGCGCUAGUCUGCGCACUUCCUCCUCCAGCUGCCCUGCACGACCAGGGUCACGUGCUGCAACUUGAUCCCGCUCUUGCUCUACAUCUUGCAAGUGUUGCCUCAACUCUGUUUCCUCUGCAUUCACCACCCCGUCGUCCGCGUCACAAGUCUGUCUUGCCGGGGACCGCUCUCUUUCUCUAUGAAAUUCUCCCCGUAGAGGUACGUUACCCCUCUCACCACCAAAUCUCCCUGUGGUUUGACUUCUCCCCGCACUAUCGGGACCUGGUGCCACUCCACCACCUCUCACCCUUCCCUCUUGGGUUACCCUUCGCUCGCUCCGCAGCUCAUGCAGGAUGGUUGUCAAGGUCUCCAUCUGCUUUUCCAUCCGUUCCAUCCGGUCGAACAUGACUUUUUCCCGUGCUUCACUGACUAUCUCCCUCAGCGUCACGGAAUCGUUAAGCCUCAUAUCACCCCCUUGUGCACUACUUCCUCCUGUCUCCAUUGCUUUUCGCUUACUUCACCCCUCUUCUUGCUAUCAACAGAAGCUUUUUGCUCUGGCUCCCCACAGACGGCUCCAAAAUGUUGAUGCGAGAUUCCGGUUCUCCUCGUUCUACGACCAGGAUCUCUGCUCGAUCAACUUCCCCACGACCAGGAGGUCUCCUAGUAAUGCUUCUUCUCCAGAUAUCCCUGCACACACAGACAAGUCAGAGUACGCCGGUUGUUCUCCCGGCGCAAACCCUCCGACGCUCAAGUCAGAUAUCAAGGUUCGGGGAACGCUCGCCACAGGUCUUAUGGCUUUUUCGUGGUUUUUUUCUUUUAUCUCAAAAAAGCUAACCCUUUUACCUUCGUUGGCUACCUUUUUAUAGGCUUCCUCUGAAUCCCAGUUUUCCGCUUUUUUCGAGACGGUCUGGGGCUCUGACUGCUACGUUAUGGGCAAACGGGGGAUCUUGCGUGUUACGCCACGGUUCAGGGGAAAGCGUGGUUGUCGUGGUUCUGCGAGAUCUUGCGUGUUACGCCACGGUUCAGGGGAAAGCGUGGCUGUCGUGGUUCUGCGAGAUCUUGCGUGUUACGCCACGGUUCAGGGGAAAGCGUGGCUGUCGUGCCUAGAUUCUCGGGCUGGAGAGCAUGUCUUGCCAACUGCCGUCGACCGGGUCUCCUCGCCUAUCGACCUCUAGCCGGAAUGGCCGUAUACCUCUUAUAGGAAAUUGGCCUCGCGGAUGACAACAUCGUGGACGAGCAGGAUAUUUCUGCUCCUGUUCUUCCGCGCACCAGGCUUUUACGGAACACACCGGUUCGCAGAACUCUGCCAUCAGAUAUCUGCUCGUCAUUCCUGGUCUCGUCGACAUAUUUAUCCCAAACAGUAUCUCUCCCAAACAAAUAUUAUACAGUUUUUUCUUCAGGAAUUUAUCGUAGUAAUUCAUUUUAAGCUACACUAAUUUUUUUGUCGUAACAGAUUCGUCAUAAGACUUAACUUUAACAUUAUUGUUGGACCCUUAUCAUUGUGCUUGAGCUUUUGAACUAAGUUGUUUCUCUAACAAGAUAUCUAAGUUGAAUUUAUUGGCUUUCUUUUAAAUUCUCUUAUCUCACGGUUCAUCUACAGGCUCUGGUUUUGGUAAUUGAGGGGACCUAUUAAUUAAUAGUUAUUGACUCUUAACCUAAACUUUUGUGUCAAGCGAUUAAUUUCUCUAAAACUCUAACAACCAAUAUAAUCUUUGUUCUUGAUUAUUCAUUUUGUAAUUUUUGAUCAUUUCCGUUAUGAAGCUUAAAGCAUGCAGCUUAUUAGAUGGGAACCGAUAAAGAAAGAUAACACUUACAUGACUUUAUUGAAGGACAUUCCAUAAAAGACGAGAAUAGUUAUGUUCUGAAGAAAGGAAUUAGUGAGUGAACAACAUCAAUUUAUUCGAAUUCUUCCUAUAUAUAUAUAUAUGGAGUAUAUGACCAAUUUAUUACGAGGACCAGGUCGAUCUUAUAUGUUACUGUGUUUCAUAUCCACAUUUAAUGCUGGCUACUAAAAAAAGCAAUGUGAGUAUUCAUUUUUGUCUUAAUUUUUGAUGUGUUAAGUUUCUGUUUUAUCUGCAAUUGAUCUUUAUAUCUCUUAAUUAACCUGGAUAAGUACAUCAUUCUUCUGUUAGCUAGCUGGCCAAGGAUGUUCCAGCCCUUUCUUUUUAUUGUACUCUUUUUUCUUUAAAAGGCUGGCCAUGGAUGACAGGGAGGACGAGCAUGUAUCGAUUGAUAUGGAGAAGUUAGCAGAUACUUUGAAUGGGAAGUUGGAGACCCUGCAUCACUUGUCUAAAGAUUGUUCCAUCUAUAGAGUUGCUGAGCCCAAGCGGUGUUUAAAUCCAAGUCAUUUUACUCCGCAAAUGGCUUCAAUUGGCCCUUUUCAUCAUGGUAAUGAAGAGCUAAAACCCAUGGAAGAGCAUAAACAGAGGUACCUAAAAUACUUUCUUCAACGGACUAAGGUACGUAUGGCUCGUUUCCUCUCUUUUAUAAAGGAAAGGGAAACAAAACUGCGCAAUUGCUAUGCAGAAACCAUUCGUAAUCUUGGAAGUGAUGAGUUCGUAGCGAUGGUUUUAGUGGAUGCUGUCUUUCUUAUUGAGUUCUUUCUGAGAUUUUAUAAACGUAAUUUCAGAACUGAUGAUGAUCGCAUUUUCAAAAAACCCAAAUUGUAUUUGGAAAUACAGGAUGACUUUUUGCUGGUAGAAAAUCAGCUUCCAUUAUUCAUUCUCAAUGACUUGUUUGAUCUAGCCAAAACAGCAACCUAUGAAGAUGCCUUUUACGAGAAUAUUUCCCUUGCCGAAAUUGCUUGUUUUUGGUUCGAGAACUAUGUAAUUGAGUCACUGGACAAGAAUUCGCUAAAAAUCCACUUUCCCAACGCUGAGCAUUUUCUUCACCUGAUUUUACUCUGUCUUCAGCCAUCCCAGUCACGUGCUCAAAUUUUGUUGAAAGAUCAAAACAUACCCAGUGUGAAGGAACUUCACCAAGCCGGAGUCAAGUUUAAACCAGCUGCCGAGUCAACCAAAAACCUACUUGACAUCAAUUUUAAUAAAGGAAUUCUGGAAAUUCCAUUUUUCAAGGUGUAUGAUAACACACAGCGUGCGUACAGAAAUCUUCUAGCCUUCGAGAGUAUGCAUGGCCACAAGAAAUACUUUAAUGAUUACAUUAUAAUGAUGGCUUGUCUCAUCAGCUGUCCGAAAGAUGAAGAACUACUCGUUCAAAAUGAUGUUAUUAGGCUAGGGAAUGAUGGAAAUAUUGCAACUGUUUUUGGAAACCUUGUUCGUGGCAGUGCGUUAAGUAGUUAUAAUUUCCAAUAUUCUGGCGUUGUCACUAAUUUACAGGCCUAUCGCAAAUUACCAUGGCACAAAUGGAAGGCAGCCUUGAAGCAAAAUUAUUUCAACACUCCAUGGGCGUCUAUCUCUGUAAUUGCAGCUGUUAUUCUCCUUCUGCUCACAGCCACGCAAACAGUUUCUUCUCUAAUUGCAUUGUAGAUUUAUUAAUUUCUACUGUUUGUGAUCAAUUUUUGUGUUUUUUAGAAGCAUUUCAUUUGUAUUGCUUGCUAGUGCCUCUGUUUUGUUUAGCUCACCCACAGAAUGUAUAAAAAAUAAGAGCAGUUGAUUUCUCUGGUUACUGUUGCUAUUUUCACUCGCCUUUCCAACAAGUCAAGCACCUUUAUAUUGUCUACUUGUCACCUCAGUUUUUAAAUUGUGUCACCUAGCUAACAUCAGUAAUGGAGGAUGGCACGGCAGAUAAAAAAGAAAGGCAAUAAUGUGAUAAUGUAGCAAUGCGAUUCUAUGAAAGAUUUUAACAUUUGAAUAACCAGUACUUCUAUUGAUUCUACAAUUCGUAAUAAUUAUUUAGUUGAUUUAUUGAUAAAAUUUAUAAUCAAGUUAGAGCUUUUACUGUGAAAUGAGAGAGUAAUUGUAUAUAGUAAGCCCCAAGUCAAGUCAAGCACAUAAUGAUAAAGAGAAAUGGUAAAUAGACGAAAGCACGACGACGGGACGACAGAAACGGCAGAAAUUGGCUGCCGUUUCACGCCUUUCCUCAUUCAAUUUUCUUUUUUUGUGGGACCGAUAACAAUUAUUAAAAUAAAGAAUAAAAAUGGAACAAAAAUGCUCUUUCACGCCUGCUCUCAUCCAAUUUUUUUGUGGGACCGAUAACAAAUAUUAUAAUAAAAAAUGAAAAAAUUUUAAAUAUCUUUAUUAUUUAAAAUCUGAUCCACUUAUUCUCAUCCUCAACUACUCGUUCUCCACUUAUUCCUUUCUGCACUCGUCCUGUUUAAUCCUCUGUAUCUCUCAGUCAUACAAAAUCAAUAUUUUGUAUCAAUUUUUGUUAAAUAAUUAAAAAAUAAUAUUUUAUAAUAAUUAAAAAACCAUCGAUGUCUAUACAAUAUCACUUCAUGAUAACGUGAACAAACAAAUUGCAAGCGGACAAAAUUAAACAAAUCUAACAUAAUUUCAAAAAUUAAAAAUUCAAUUUAACACAAAACAUUAUUCCAUCACUACAAUUUCAAAGAUUUAAAGUCAAAUCUAACAUAAUUUUAAAAAUUUAAAGUUCAAUUUAACACAACAUUAUUUCAUCACUACAAUUUAAAGUUAAAAUACAAGUCAAGUAUCAUCAUUGUUAUCUUCAUUACGCUGCUGCUACUGUAGUAACUGUUGGAAAUUCUCACUUUGAGAUCAUUGAUGAGUCAUCGAAGAAGAAGAAUAAUGCAACUGUGAUGUAUAUGGUGGGACUGGUUGCUAUAAUACAUAAAAAUAAGCAUCAUAUUACAUUACAGAAAUAUUAAAAUAUAUAUAUUCAUUAACGACUUGUUAACAACAACUUACUGUGUGCCAAUUAUAAGGAAAUGGCUGAUAAAUGUUGCUUCCACCGAAUUGGGAUUGGUACAUAGGUACCUAAUCAAAUAUUAAAUAUAUAUAAAAUUCAUAUCAAUAUAUGUAAAAUUCAUAUAAAAAUCUUAUCAAAUAACAUUCCAAGAGCUGGCUCACGUUUGUUCGGUUCCACAAUUUCAUUUACAUCGUUAGCUCUUGUUUCUUGCAACUCUUCAAAUGCAUGCUCAUUUUCCAAAUACUCCAUUUCUACAAAAUAAUUAACAUUUGUAUUAACAAACUUAUAUAAUAUUUUGUCCGGUAACGAAAAUUCGUAACAAUUUAAAUAAAUAAAACACAUCCACAAAUUUUUAUAAUUUAUUCCAUUAUCUCCAACAAUUUAAAUUAUAAAAUCCUAACAACUUAAAUAUAUAAAACACAUCCGGAAAUUGUUAUAAUUUAUUCCAUUAUCUCCAACAAUUUAAAUUAUAAAAUCCUAACAACUUAAAUAUAUAAAACACAUCCGGAAAUUGUUAUAAUUUAUUCCAUUAUCUCCAACAAUUUAAAUUAUAAAAUCCUAACAACUUAAAUAUAUAAAACAUAUCCGGAAAUUGUUAUAAUUUAUUCCAUUAUCUCCAACAAUUUAAAUUAUAAAAUCCUAACAACUUAAAUAUAUAAAACAUAUUCGGAAAUUGUUAUAAUUUAUUUCAUUAUUUUCAGCAAUUUAAAUUAAAAAAAAUCCUAACAUAUAUAAAACACAUUUAGAAAUUGUUAUAAUUUAUUGUAUUAUUUCCAGUCAUUUAAAUUAAGAAAAAUCCUAACAUAUAUAAAACACAUUCAAAUAUUGUUAUAAUUUAUUUCAUUAUUUCCAACCAUUUAAAUUUAAAAAAUCCUAACAUAUAUAAAACACAUUAAAAAAUUAUUAUAAUCUAUUCCAUUAUUUCCAGCCAUUUAAAUUAAAAAAAUCAUAACAAUGCAUAACAAUUUAAAUAUAUAAAAAAUAAAAAUCUACGAAUUUUUGCAAUUUAAAUUAAAUAUUCUAACCAUUUAAACAUCUCUCACCUUUGUUUGUAGAUCUAAAUCUAAUUUAUUCCUUGUGAUAACUGAGAUGCAGAGACAAAAUUUGCGAGGUGCUGAGGCAGAAUUUGUGAGAUGCAGAAACUGAAACUCGUUUGAAUUUUGGCUUCCUUCCUGAACACAAAGAACUCUCGUACUCAAAUGAGAGAAAUUCACUAACUGAAAUGAGAGAAAUGGAGAGACUACAGAACUCCAUUCACGUGCUCAUUUAUUUUCGUUACUUUUUCUUUAUUCUUUUGAUUAUUUUAUUCUUUAAAUUAAAAAAGUAAGGGACAAAAGCCACAAAACCUGCUCCACUCACGUGCCCAGUUUUCGUUUCCAUUAAUCCCACAUGGCAAUUUUUUUCUGUCGUCCUUUUGUCUUCAUUUCGUUCAAAUAGCAGAACUCAAUGAUAAAACAUAAGCAAGAUAAGUCAAGCAAUCAUAAAAGCAUGGGUCCUGGAAAGUUGAAAGAAAAGGCAAAAGCGUGUGGUGGCCCAGCACAGUGAUGAAAAUUUGAUUAUUUACUGUCCCAUCGGACGGAUAAAGACCAGCUUCUAUUGAAAAGGACCCCAUAUUAAGGAAUUUGAAGUGGCCUUCGAUUCAAAGCAGCUGUGCGGAGCAAUAAAAUUCAAUACAUAUCUCUGCCAAGUAAAAGACACGAUUACAAGGAAGCGCUGUGCUUCAUAAAACAUUUAGGGGGUAUCAAAUGUCGUAGAGGUAAAUCUCUUUGGGUUAAAGUUGAAAAAGAGUAUUUAAUUAUUGGGGUAAAAUGUUAAACUUUUAAAGUUGUAAGAGCUAAACAGAAAAAUAAAUAUUUUAAAAUCUGAAAUUGUAAAUUUACAUAAUUAUGUUUAAUCAUUGUUUUUGGACAUACAACAGCAGGGCAGGGCCUCUGUUUUCCAUGGGACAGCUUCCCCAUGGAUGAAAGUAUCGACGAUAAUACUUAACACAUGUUUAUGCUUUCACCUUUUUUUCAUUGAGAAGCCGAAACGAAUCUGCUUUAAGUUUUAAAUUAAUUAACUUGAGAUGAGGUUCAAGAAUAUUACACGGUUUUUUCCUCAGGAAUUUAUGGUAGUAAUUCAUUUUAGGCUAUGCUAAAUUGCUCAUUGCAGUAAAUUCGUUGUAAGACUUUACUUUAAUACUAUUAUUGGAUCCUUAUUAUUAUGCUUAAGCUUUUGAAACUACGUUAUUUCUGUAACAAGAAUUCAAAGUUGAAUUUAUUGGCUUGCUUUUGAAUUCUCCUGUCUCAUGGCUCAUCUACAUGCUCUGAAUUUUGUACGUUAGGGGACCCAUUAAUUAUUUAAUUAAUACUUAUUGACUCUCAAGUUAAAUUUUUGUGUCAACAGAUUUCUCUAAGACUCUAGCAACCAAUAUAAUCUUUGUUCUUAUUACAUGAGAACCAAUAAAGAAAGAUAACACUUACUGACUUUAUUGAAAGAGAUUCCAUAAAUGACAAGAGAAUUGUUAUGCUCUGAAGGAAGGAAUUAAUGUACAAUAUCAAUUUAUUCGAACUACUCCUAUAUAUAUAUGGACUAUAUGGACCAAUUUAUUACGAGGACCUGGUCGAUCUUAUAUGUUAUUGUGUUUCAUAUCCACAAUUAAUACUGGCUACAAAGAAAAGCAAUGUGAGUAUUCAUUUUAGUCUUCAUUUUUGAUGCGUUAAGUUUCUGAUUUAUAUGCACUUGAUUGUCAUACCUUUUUAUUAAUCAGGAGACACAUCAUUCUUCUGUUAGCUAGCUGGCCAGGGAUGUUCCAGCCCUUCUUUUUAUUGUUCUCUUUUCUUUUUUAAUUAAUAAAUCUCGCUCAACCGAGGACUUUUAUUAAAAUGCUGGCCAUGGAUGACAGGGAGGACGAGCAUGUACCCGUCGAAAUAGAGAAGUUAGCCGAUUCUUCAUCCACAGUUAAUACAGGGGAUACAGAAAAAGCAAUGAGUAUUCACUUUUGUCUCAGUUUUUGACGUGUUAAGUAGCUGAUUAAUCUAUGCACACUCGAUCGUCAUAUCUUUUUAUAAAUCUGGAUAUAUCUCUGGUACUCAAGGAGCAUUGUUUCAUAUUGUUCUCUAGUUGUCAGGUGUGUAUAAAUAUUAUCACGAUUAAUUGAAAAAUAUACUAGACAAAAGAGUGAUUGCAAAAGGAGCAAUGCUUCUAAAACACACCAAGAAUUUUCCAUACUAAUGUCAUUUAUUUCAUUAUUCCUCCAUUAGCAACUGAUUGAAUAUAUAUAUGGAUGACAGGGCGCAUGAGGACGAGAACGAGCAUGUGCCGAUUGAUAUGAAGAAGUUAGCCGAUUCUUUGAGUGGGAAGUUGGAGACCCUGCCUCC
rnacentral:lncRNA from 1 species